rnacentral:lncRNA from 1 species
AAAAAAAAAAAGUAUAAUACAAAAAAUUUAAAAAAUCUUUAAAAUACAGUAUAAUAUAAUAGCCAAAAAAAAUAUCACCCUUCUUAAAAUCAAAUUUGAUAAGAAAAAAAUAAAGGGUUAAUUUCAUAUAUCUCCAAAUAGGGAUGUAAUGUGGGCCGUGCCGGGACCACAUUUUUCGGGCCAUUUCGAGCCAAGGGUCGGCCCGACCCGACCCGGUUAUUAAUUUGGGGUGAGCCGUUCCGACCGGUUUAGCCGGGCUUCGUGCCAACCCAGAUUUUAUUAAAAAAAUUAUUUUUCCCGCUUUUUUUCUAGAAAUUUUUGUUUAAAAAGAAUAAUUUCUUUUUAAAUUAUAGACUUAUAGCUUUUACUUUACACAAUUACACCCAACAUUUUGAAAACUCUUCUAUUAAAUAUUUUUAAUAAUUUUUUAUUAUUUGAAGAAAAAUUGAUAUUUUAAAAAAUAAUUACAAAAAAUAUAUAAAGUCUGUAUUAAUCAUAUUACAUAAAAUUUGUAUUUUUUUAAAAAAAAUUUAAAAAAAGAGUUUUCAUUAUAACUUUUUAACUUAUAGUUUUUAAUAUACACAAUUAUACCCAACCUUUUUAAAACUUUUAUAAAUUUAAAAAAUUUUUUUGUAUUUAUUUUUUCGAAUAUCAAUUUCUCUUCAAAUAAUAAAAAAUUAUGAAAAAAACUAAUAUUAAUUUUAUGUUAAAAAGUUAAAUUUAUUGUGAUUUUUUUAAAAAAAAUUUAAAAAAAGAGUUUAAAUUAUAACUUUUUAACUUAUAGUUUUUAAUAUACACAAUUAUACCCAACCUUUUUAAAACUUUUAUAAAUUUAAAAAAAUCACAAUAAAUUUAACUUUUUAACAUAAAAUUAAUAUUAGUUUUUUUCAUAAUUUUUUAUUAUUUGAAGAGAAAUUGAUAUUCGAAAAAAUAAAUACAAAAAAAUAUAUAAAAUUUGAAUUAAUCAUAUUAUAUAAUUACAUUAGAGAAAAGUACAAAAUUUUUAAAAAUAAAAAAUGUAUUUAAAAUAAAAUGAUAUUGUUUAUACAACCAAUUAGCAAACAAUAGAGGAAAAAAUCAAACAUAAUUUUUUUCUUCAUUACAUCAUUUUUUUCACUUAAAAAAAAGACACCUACUAAUGUAAUUUACUAAAUAAAAAAGAAGAGACGUAAAGACUAAUAGUUUGUUGUGAUACAAUUGGUUGAUACCUGUUCACUGAUCAAAAUGUCAGUGGUUCGAUCUCCCUUAUGUUUGAGCGAUUUAAUUUAAUAUUUUUUCGAAAAAAAGAAAAAAAAAAAAAAAAUACCCAAGACCCAACCCAACGACUAUUGAGCCGUUGUCCUAGCCUUUAGGCCUGGCUAACUUUUGCCUCAAAAGUAUCGAGGUCGUGCCGUGCUGUGCCGUGCCAGGCCUACGGGCCGCUGAAAUGACUCGUAGGGCCGGGCCAGCACGGCUACUAUAGUAGUCGUGGCGGGCCACGACCUGGCUCACAAUUGUGCUCGGCCGUGCGGGCCACGACACUAGCUUUCUGUAAACAUAUCGAAUAGCAAAUAUAUUCCAAGAAAAUUCAACUUUUUAUAUUUAUUUGUUCAAAAGUCCAAUAAUAUUCAUAUUUGAUUUUCUGGUUUGUUAUCAAUGAAGCACUGUUUAUUUUUUAACAAAAGAUAAGUAAAAUGAUACUUUUGCCAUCACAAAUAUGUUCUACCAAAAAUUUCAACUAUUAAAAUUAUAUACAAAUAUCUCUCAAAAAUCCUGAGCGGUCAAUUUUUUUCUUUCUCCCAUUAUAAAUAAUAUAAGAGGCGUAAAAGGUCAAUUUAUCUUAUUCAUUAACCAUGGUUAAGUACUCCACCUAUGAUUAACUAUAUUUUUCUAGCGGACCCUAACAGUAUGGAUAUAUUUGGCAAAGUUAGAAUUUUUAUAGAAAUAAAUAUAAAAGAUUUCGCUUUAAAAAAAUAUAUAUGUUAUUCAAUAUAUUUACGGGGAGUGCAUGUAAAUAACUCAAGAAUAAAAUACUCUAGUUCUUUUUGUGCCAUGAUCGAUUAAAGUGAGUUUAAGUUGCGGUACAAGGGCUGUGAUAUGGCCUACAAACUAUUAUUUCGGGCCGAGUAGAUGUCCAAAAAUCUGAACACAAAAUAAUUAUUUUUUAUCACAUUUUAAAAACAAAUUAUAUUAGAAUUUAAAUUUUAUAAUACAAAUUUAAAUAUAACAUUAACAUCUAUAUAUUAUAUAAUAUAAAACUAGUUUGAAAAGUAGUUUAAUUUAAAAAAUAGUGGAACAUGCGGUCCAUGAGGUGAAGUGGACUUCGUGUGGACUGCCUGAGUCGACCUCAUUCAUUUAUUUCAUUUAUAAAUAAAUUUUAAUUGAAAAUGUGAAUCAAUUAGGAUUUGAACUUAGAAUCUUAGGUACAACUACCAAGUUCUUUAUCACUUGCAAUAGAGACAGUUACCCUUUACCACUUGCGGUGUAUAUAUAUAUAUAUAGAGAGAGAGAGAGAGAGUUGAGCUGGAAUGCUAUCAGUAACAAACGGGUUUCGUUGCCACCUAUUUAUUUUUGAUGAUGAAGCCUCCAAAUCGACGAUCAACACCGUUAGAAUAUAAUUUAUAUCACUUGAAAUAUCUAGGAACCAAAUUUCAUAUUUUUUUCGAUAUUGUUCUCUUGUCCAUCAAGUGGAUACAAAAAUGAAUGACUGAAAAUGAAUAUCCUUUAAAAAUAAUGAUAGUAGUCUUAUAAUGAAGAUUAAGAGUAUAUAUCUUGUUCUAAAUAGUUUAAAAAAUUUUCUAACCAAAAUUUAAUUGAUUCGGAUAUCCUUACGUUGUUAAAUGAGAAAACGUUUUAUAUCUACCAUUAAUAUUAUAAAUAUUGAAACCCUUUGAUCAUUAGGCCAAUAAUGUCGAAAGGAUUUAAAAUUUGGUUUCUAAAUAUUUCGAGUGGUAUAGAUUAUGUUCAGUGAUGCCAAUCGUCAAUUUGGAGGUUCAAUCAUCGAAAACAAAUGGAUGACAAUGGAGCCUGUUUGCAACCAGUAACAUUCGAGCUAAACUCUCUCUCUCUCUCUCUAUAUAUAUAAUAUUUUAUUUAUAAAGAUAUAUUUAUUUAUUUAUUAUAUUAUAUAGUAUUAAAUUUAUAACUUGUAUAUAUUAUACUACGCGUCCGGCUAGUAUAUUAUCGAUGAUCAUUCCCUAUGGUCAGAUCACACUAUUCAACCAGGCAAUCACUCAAUUCUGAAGGACUACUAUCAUCCUAAUCGUACAUUCUUUUAUCCAACAUCCGAAUAUUCGAUAGCAUCGAAAGUUUGGUACUGUCGAUAGUAUAAUAGCAUAAUUUAUUAUAUUACAUACUUAUAAUAUAAAAUAAAUUUGAAUAAAUUUAAUUUAAAAAUAAUAAUAAUUAUUAUUAUAAUAUAUUAUGGUAAUUAUUAUAUAUAAAUAAUAUAUAACAAUAUAUAAUAAAAAUAUAAAAUAUAUUUUUAUCUAUAUUUUUCUUGCAAACAAAAAAAACCUAGCUGAAAUUUUUUUUUCAACAAAUCUAUUUCUAUCUAUUUCUCUACAUUAAAGGAGGGUUUGGGGGGACCUUGGGGUGACACGUGUCCCUUCAAACCCCCCUUUACUCUCUCUCUCUCUCUCUCUCUCUCUGGGUAUACUAUUAUAUAUAUAUAUAUAUAUAUAUUCAUAUAGGUAUCAAAACUUUAAAAUUUGAUACUUUCAAAUUUUAAAUUUAAAUUUCAAAUAAUUUAUAAUAUUUAUUUCAAAUUUAAACUUUAAAUUUAAAAUUUAAAUCUCUAAACUCUAUGAAAUUAAUUAAAUAAUUAAUUUAUUAAUAAAUUCAUUGUAUAUAAAUAUAAUAGUUAAUUAUUAUUAAAUAACACAUAAUAAAUCGCAUAAUAAAAUCUAAUUUGAUCGAUGUAUAAAAAAAUACAUAAUUUAAAUUGAGGAGUAAGAUUUUAGAAAUAUAAUGCGUAUGUGUAUAUAUAUAAAUUAAUUUUAUAAACAAAUUCUUUCAUUAUUUUAUUUCCUUCUAUUUUUUUAAAAUUAUUUUGAUAUAUUUAUCACAAAUCUUUUUUCGCAUAAAUCUUUAUAAAAUAAGUUGUCGUUUUAAUAAAUUUUAUUUAAAUAAAAUUAACUAUUAAAUUAUUUUUAUAUAACUUUUAUUUAAUUAAUAAUUAGACUUAUAAAAUUAUUUAAAAAUAUAAAAAACUAAAAUUUAUUAAAAAAAAUUUUAAAUCCGCAGCAUCGCGCGGGUAUUACACUAGUCAAACAUUAAAGCGCAUAAAAUUCUUUCUUUUUCAAUUUUUUUAUCAGAUCAACCAGCCUUCUCGGAGUUCGGAUUCUUCGCGUUCGGAUUCGGAUAGAGUUUCGGGUAUCCAUACCCGUUAACAUCCCUGUUAAUCAUAGCUCAACUUAUUAGAUCUCAUUCCGAUGCGUUUCUCAAAACUCCUUAGCAUGGUAUGUUUCUAAACCGAAUGGAUCUAAAACCCCUCGCAUCGUCACAAACCCUAGAGAUUUGAUUCGAACUGCGAGGGUUGGGGAUGGGAUCGAUCGAUCCAUCGCCUCCCUUUUCCCUCGCCAAUUCCCUUGUCCUCGUCCGCAUCAUCCUCCUCCUCAUUCUCCUCCAUGUCCCCUCGUCUCACUCCAUCUACUGCGACGAAGACGAUUGCUACGAUCUCCUCGGGUAUUACCCCCAGAUCCCCCUUUUUACGCUCUUUUUGGAUCAAUUAUAGCAAUUUUUGUAGAUAAAUAUGCAUUAGUUUCGAUCUUGGACCUUACCGCUUAAAUUUUAGAGGGAUUGUUGAAUUCGGAUGCAAAACUUUACCGAAAUGAGUUUUUAUAUUUCACGUUGGUUCUGCAUCUCUGCAUCUAAUUUUAGUUUCGGUAUCCAAAUUUGCGAUUUGUUGAGCAAUUUGUUUAAUUUAUAUGAUUCUGCUGUAUUAAAACGUCGAAAUUUGCGAUUUGUUGAGCGAUUUGUUUGAUUUAUAUAAUUUUGCUUAGAAUUAUGACUCUACUUUAUUAAAGCAUCAAAGUUUCUGAUUUAGUGAGCGACUUGUUUAAUUUUUAUGAUUCUACUCUAUUAAAACCGAUGACCCACACCGACUCAUUUUUAUAAUGUUCGUACCUAUUUGAGGCAGCGGGGAAGUACAGGAUGAAAUUAAUGUAAUAUUUUAUGCGGGAAAAAAUUUAUUGAUAUUCAGGCAAAACGCUUUUUUUUUUAGCAUUUACUUUUGUUUCUUGUUAGUGAUUCUUUUUUUAUUUUCUGAUAAUUUUGUUUCCUUCUUGUUCAUUUUUCAGGGUUACACAGAGCGCGAAUGCAUCGGAGAUUAAGAAAGCUUACUACAAGCUUUCCCUUAAAUAGUAUGUUGGUGGAAUUGACCUUUUUGUCUUGCUUAGGAUUUUAGUUGGUAUUAUUACAUCUACAUUCAAAACCUUUUAACUUUUGAUCAUCCUCUGUUUUUUCAGCCAUCCGGAUAAAAAUUCCGAUCCUGAGUCGAGAAAGCUGUUCGUUAAAAUUGCGAAUGCUUAUGAGGUUGGAAUCGACUUUUCAGUUUCUUUUUUUAUCUCUGGUAGGCGUAGGCAUAUGCAAAUUGCAUUUUUUGAGUAGUUUCUACUACUAAAUUGGUGAUGUAAUAUGGAGGAUUCGAAAGAUUAGUGUGAUUGGAUCUGCACACACUUUGUGGUGAGUGAGAUUCUGUUCUCUCAAUCGUGGCCUGCUGCAAGCAAUGGUGCUUGAAUUGUUUGGUAGCGAAAUGCUCUUGAACGCUAUUGUUCAUCAUCGUAAUCAUUGGGUGUGGGUGUGGGGAUCGAUAUUAAACAAAUGCAAGGCUUUGUCGAUCAGUCAAUUUAGCAGGACCUCAGACAUUGUGAGGAUCCAAUCUGUUUGCUGCGUACCAACCCAAGUCGAAGAAGUUAAAGCAAUGGUCAGUGGAGGGAGUUUGACAGUGAGAAGUAGGGUUAGCUUUUGUUAGGGGAGGCCUGCAGGCUUGCACAGAGUUGUCCAGAACGGUUGGUAAAUUUAAAAGGAUUGGAUAGUAGCAAAAGUGAGAGGCAAAUGGCGGUUUGUCGACAGGGAUGAGAAUAUCAGCAGAAGCAAAUGCUCGUUUUUGUUUCUCUCUUAGUUUCCUCUGACCAUCUAUUUGUUCCUGUUUCUCUAAGCAAUUCUUGUUCUCUUGGUAUGUCUAUAAAAAAUCUAUAUCUAUUUCUCUAAGUAUACCUACAAAACCAAGAAACUUAUAUGUGACAGUAGUAGUAGACAGAAAAGAGCAUAUGGUCUUUGUAGUAUCUGAAGUAAUAGAGGCCUUUGGUGUUCGUACGUCGACCUUAAGUUUAUGAAGUGACAACCCUAUGUUCUCUUUUUCGUCCCAUGAACUAAGUUUGUUGAUAACAAGUUUUUAUACCUUUUUAAUCUCUUACAUUUUUGUAUUUUAGUGGUGGUAACAAGAUUAUUGACCCUCUUUUGUACUUAACUAACCAGAUUUUGAGAGAUGAAUCCACAAGGGGGCAAUAUGAUUAUGCAAUUGCACAUCCAGAGGAGGUAACUUUUUGUUAGCAUUCUACAAAUUCUUGGUUACUCUGAAAUUGUCUCAACUAUAUGGCCUUCGAAUCACAUGCUUAAUAUUGUUGUCUAUAAGCUUCUAUAAGCUUCUCCUAAUUAAUAGUGUAUAGUCCGACGCUAGCUCUAGAUUUUGAUGUAUGAAGUUUUGUUUGGUUUCUAUUGGAAGAAGUGAUGUAUGUUUCCUUGUCAUUGUCUUUCUGAAUUGCAAGUCCUUGCAGUUGGUUCUGUGCAAGAUUCAAUUAAUUACUGGAUAUCUAUCAUAACUUAUCUGAUAUCUUUUAGCAUUAUUAGCCUUUUAUUUGCUACACUAUUGUAAAAAAGUGGUGUUCUGCUUAUGCAGAUACAGUUGCUUUAUUGCACAACGUAGACCACAUCUGCAUAUGGCUCAGACUCCUAGUAAUGAGCACACGAGCAAGUCGCCUAUUAUAUUGCAUUUUAUAGUUUUCCAUAUUGGCUCUUUCUCCAUAUUGCUUUGUAUUUGUAUCCUUUAUAAAUUAUCUACGUAAUUCGAUGGUUGAUUAUGCUAUUCAUGUUGUUCAUACCAGUUACUGGUGGCAUCUAUAAAUAUAGCCAUGCCAUCGUACUAGUGAUGCUGUGACAAGCUUUAUUUUGUUUCAGGUAUUUUACAAUACUGCCAGAUACUAUCAUGCAUAUUAUGGGCAUAAAACAGUAAGCUUCUUUGGUUGUUCUACUUUUAUACUAAUCUGUCGUGUCUAUUAAAGAAUGGUAUCGGAGAUGCACCUAAGCUUACCAAUUGUUUCAUAAUUUCUAUCUCGGUAGGAUCCCAGAGCUGUCUUGGUGGGCCUUCUAUUGGUUAUUUCAGCAAUGCAAUAUCUAAACCAGUGGACAAGGUACACACAGGUACUGGAAUAUAUAUUACCAAAGAAUGUUCAUUUAAUGCCUUGUCAAAUAUAAAGCUUUUACCUCGAUGUCUAUAAUUGCAUUUGUUUCCACUGCAUAGCACAUAUGGGAUAUGCAGGCCUGAGCAUAUCUUGGGUCGUCACUUAGAAUAUAUAUAAUGCGAUAGUUUUAACUUAGAACAUGUAUAUAAAAAGCGGGAAAAUUGGGGACUAAAACUGAAACUGUAUACUUGGAUGAUGUCAUGGGCCAUGGCGUGACCAUUUUGUCUAUUAAAAGCUCCCUUUUCUUUCAAGCAAAUUCAAAUGUAUGUAUAAAUUGUCUUUUCACAAAUGAGGAAAAUAAUUUGUGCAUUUUGGGGACUAUAUGAAUAUUGGUUUCUAUUUAGCAACAUUUUCUCUCACGUGUUCUGAUGUGAUUAACUGAAUGUGUAAGGGUUGUGCUUAUGAUACUUCAAAUCUUUUUUCUCUUUUUUUGCAGCAUUCCAUGUGGAAUAUUUAUACUUGCUUGACAUACAUUUUCUAUUUUCUUUAUUUGACAACAACUAGACAACUAAACAAAUGAUCCAACCCAUUUAAUUUGCUAUAGAAGGAUACUGACCAACUAGAUUCUUGUAUACUUAUUUUAGGCUAUUAGCAUGGUCAAGAAGACUCCUGCUUACCAAAAUAGAUUGAAGGCAUUGCAGCUCGAACGAACUGGGGGAAUAACAACCAAGAAGAAGGGUCACAAACAAAUGGACAAGUAUGAAUUUUCUCGAUCCUUUGAACACCACAGAGUUGAGCAAAUUUGAUACAUUUUAUUGUAGAUUUGGUAUCUUGGUUCUGAUACUUACAUAAUAAGCUGGAGUAUUUGUGAAGGUGUUUGAUUCUUGAAAUUUACGUUGCUUCUGGUUCACAUGCAGAAGUUCUCCUCUGUUGUUUUUUCAUGUAAUUGUUAGUUGAUAUAUAUCUCAAAACAGAGUCACUGCAAAGGUAGUUUUGGUUUUCUUCCCAACAAAAUGACUAUGAAGGGACUCUGAAAAGUGUAGCAUUUUCAUAAAAUUUUGACGCAAAGCAGAAAACAAUAAGUAAUGAAACAAAAAAGAUAAUUUAGUGAGAAAUUAUUUAGGACAGGCAGGAGAACUUAAGACUACGUAGCCGACUUAUGUGGAUAUCACUUAAUAUGAGAGUGCAUGCAAUCGUCGACUAAAGCCUAAGAUAAAGAACUUGCAAUCGAGUUUCUUGUAUAUCACCCUAUCUACUUGUAUAUUCUUAUGCUGUUGUUCCUGUUUUCUAGCUUAUGUGCUACAGUGCCUGAUUUACAGCUUUGUAGGUUAAAUGUGCUAAAUGCUCUAAGAAAUAUUAAAAUUUUGAAAUAUAUCUUUGAUGUGUAGCCGCCAGUUGAGAUCUGAUGCUUAAUUAUUCAUCCCAGGAAAAUGGAAGAGGAGCUUGGCAGUGAGCUGGAGUUACAAAUCCAGGGUGCUGACAAACCCUCUGUGUGGAAACUUUACGGUGUUCAAUUUGCGCUCUUACCUUACACUCUAGGAAAGGUUAGUUGGUUCCAUGGAAGCUAAAAUUGUUCUAUGACUUAGUAUUUGGUGUUUUGUUUUCUCAAGUAUGUAUUUUGCAUUUCCAGCUAUUACUCUGGAGAAUAUGUUGGCUUUGGAGUUAUCGGAUAAAGAAAUAUCCUUACUCAUGGGAUGAUGCUUGUUACUUGACUCGGACUCGUCUCAAAAUGCCUCCUAACAUAUGGGAUAAUAUGGGUAAUUAUCAUCAGGAAAUUUUAUGGAAUAUAUUUAGCAAAUUGUUGUACGCGCUAAAAUAAACAUCUGUCGAAGGAUAUGAUGCUUCCUCACAAAGUAUGUUACAAGAUAAGACCUGCCAUUAUUUUAAGUCGGAAUGAUGUCGGUAACGAAUCAUUUCAGACUCCAAACCAUUAUGCCUGAUGAAACUUCCAGUGUCAUCACUUCUCGUCUUAUGUUUCACGCAGACGACUCUGUCAGGAAUGAUCUCGUGUCGAGACGGCUGUGGGAGAAAGGCAACAUGGAGAGCUAUAUCGCAGACAUGAGGAAAGAGUCGAAACGCCGGAGAUAGAUAGUUUCUCGCACAGGUGCAGAACAAAAUGAUGAAGUCCGAGCUAAGCAGAUUUCCCUUUUCCACUGGGUCCUACCAUUCACUUUCGCUUCUUCAAUCCGAAUCCAACGCAAGGGAACGGAGCUUCAAAUGGGGCCCUAGUGCUUUUGUCAACACAUGAUGCGUCACAUGUAGCAAACUACAUACUAGAAGCAGAUACCGGUGGACUUAAAUCUCAAUGGGGAUUGAAUCUCAGAUAGUUUCUGCAUCUGUCUCCGAAGAUACAAGGUGUACUUACCACAAGUUCAGGUCUGUUCUGCUACGGCAGCCUGCAUCUUUUCUUUUCCCAUUUCCUCGUCAUAUUUUUAUCAUCGGUGCAGCUUGUGCCUGUUGCAUUCAAAGAUUAGGCCGCCGAUGAAGCUUUGGCAAAGUCGAAUUCACGAGUGCAUUCGCAUUGCAUGUUAAACUACAACAUAUUUAUUCUGGCUAUAGUAUAAUCUCCAUAACUGGAGUUCUCAUCAACAGAUUCUGCAGCUGUGCUGUUGUGUUAAAUCUAUACCUAUUUGUUGAUGAGCAGAGGCUUCUCCUUCCUGAAAUCCAAUUAUAUAUUUAUUUAUUUAUGCGCUUUUUUUCUUUCUGCAUUCAGCUCUUUUCAAAAAAUAAAUUUUACAAAUAAUUUUAACAAAUUUAUAUUUGCACAUACGGCCCUCUUUUUACCAUGAGAGCGUCAUGUUUGUAUUUUUAAGUUGAACACGGUGAAUGAAUCGUCGUGCUUAAACAUGGUGAUUGAAUCACUGUAUUCACAUCCAUACUCCAGUCCUUUGUAAAUACGGUGAUUGAAUGUCACCUAAACGCUUGCAUGACAACGAGAGGACUACUCAUGCAUGUAUAAAUUUGUUAGAAUUAUUUGUAUUUUUUUUUUUAUUGAGUUGACUAAUAAAUGUAAAAAAAAGUCCGAUAUUUAUUCAUUUCUGGGAAUUAUGUCUGAGCAUGGUAUUCCGCGACCUUCCAAAAAUGUCUAAUUAUAUAAUAAUAAUAAUAAUAAUAAUAAUAAUACAAUAGGGCUCAUGAUAUUUUGGCAAUUAAUAAUGGAUAGUAGCUCAUGAAGAGAAGCCAAACAUUGUGCGUACAAUCUUAACCCUUAAUUGAAAAAAUCUUUACAUAAAAAAAAAAAAAAAAAGAAAAAAAAAAGUGGAGAAAUUGAAAAGGUGUGGUACCCAUCUCUUUCCUUGGCUUUGUCCUGUAAUUGUGCCCCUUGUUCUUCAAAUUUCCGUUCAGCCACUAUUGUUUCUAAUGUACGUUGACAAAGAAUUGAUGGUUGAUAUUUUUUGUUUUCAAAUUUCGCGCUUCAGUAUUGAAUCUUUUUAGUGUAAGUGAUAAAAAAUUUGAUAAUUAAUACGUGAGAUUUUUCACGUUUCAAACCUUAUAUAUAUCUUUUUUAGCUGAAUUAUUUUUUAAAAAUAAAUAAAAUUUCGUGUUCAUCCUCAUACUUAAAUGUCCAUCUCCAUCAUCGAAUAAAAUGACAUGAAUCUUAAAACCACACAGCGGCAGACGAACGCACCGGUCCCCAUCAUUUUUUUUUUUUUUUUUUAUAAGGUGACCCUUAUAUUGGUUUUUUGAUUGAGACCUGAUUAAUAUUUCACUCUUUUAUUUGCAUAUUAUAUUUCUAUUAGGAAAUUAGAAAUUUUAUUAGUCAUCUAAGUCAGUUGCUGACCAAGAUCGUGCCCUCUUAAUUAACUAAAAUUAUUUUAUUUUUUAAAAAAAUCAAUUAGGAAAGUUUGUUUUUUUUUAGUUGAAAAGUUUGUUUCAAACCUGUAGGAUUUGUGCCCUUUUUUUUUUUUUUUUUUUUUUUGGUCCCAAGCAAAGAGUGAGAACAGGCUAAAAAUAAAAUAGUCUCCCUUUUUACACUUUUGCGAUGAUUAUUACGAGGGCCUUUGAAUAAACAACUUUGUGCAACUGCAAUAUUUGACCUACCAAACAUGAGGAUAAAUUAUGAAGAAAAUAAUAAUAAAUGAUAAUUAAAAAACCUACAAACUUAGGUAGAAUCCCAUAAUAGCUUUUAUUCCAAGGACUUUUUCUCUUUCUUUUGUUUUUUUUUGUUUUUUUUUUUGUUUUGCUUUUAUCCCAAAUAUGUGUCAUAAAUUUUUUUGCAUCCAAAAAACGUGAUUUAGUGCUUUUUCACUUUAAGAAACUUCAACCCUUCAAUAUCCGUUAAACUGACCGAUCGUCCCAGCGCAAGUGACAAACGGCUUGGUGGUUGAUACCCGAGGUCCCAAGUUCGAAUCCUAGUUAAAUCACAUUUUCAGCUAAGCUUAUUUCUAAAUGAAAUAAACGAAACGGAUAACAUGUUAACUAUCCGUUAAACUAGUAAUAAAGUUAAAAUUCGAAAAAUAAAACCACAGGAUAUUAAUUUGAUAUACUUUAAACCACAUGAUACUAAAAUGAGAAAGUGCGAAACCACAGGAGUUUACCCUAAAAAAAAAAAAAGACAAAAACAGUGCAGUUUCUGAACCUCCUCUUCUUUGUUUGUCCUUUGGAUUCCCAUGGAAAUUAUUGUCUACACCUUUUGUAUCUCACAAUAAAUAUUUUGAAAUUUAUAUUUUAAAUUGAAAUUAAAUUUAUUAUCUUNNNNNNNNNNNNNNNNNNNNNNNNNAAAUUGAAAGUGUGGGGUACCCAUCUCUUCCUUUGCUUGUCCUGUAAUGUGUGGCUCCUUGUUCUUCAAAUCUUCGCGUUUCACGCCACUUAUUGUUUUUUUCCUAAUGUCAAGUUGGACAAAGAAUUUGAUGUGUGAUAUUUUUGUUUUCCAAAUUUCGCGUUAUAAUAAUCGUUUUUAGUGUAAGUGAUAAAAAAUUUGAAUAAUUAAUACGUGAAUUUCACGUUCAACCUUAAUAUAUCAUAUUUAGCUGAAUUGUAUUUUUAAAAAUAAAAUAAAAAUUUGUGUUCAUCCUCUAUCUUAAUGUCCAUCUCCAUCAUCGAAUUAAAAUCGAACAUAAUCUUAAAACCAUAACAGAGCGGCAGACGGAAAAGCACCGGUCCCCAUCAUUAUUUUUUUUUUUUUUUAAAUAAGGUGGACCCUUAUAUUCGUCCUUUUUGAUUGAGACCUCUUAAUAUCUUCACCUCUUUUAUUGCGAUUAUUAUAUUUUCUAGUUAGAAAAUAAAAUUUUACUUAAGUCAUCUAAAGUCAGUUGCUGACCAAGAUGCGUGCCCUUAAAUAACCUACAAUUAUUUUAUUUUAAAAAAAUCAAAUUAGGAAAGUUUUUUUUUUUAAAGUUGAAAAGUUUGUUUCAAACCCUUGUGUAGAUUGUGCCCUUUUUUUUUUUUUUUUUUUUUUGGUCCCAAGCAAAUGAGUGAGGAACAGGCUAAAAUAGAAAUAUCUCCCCUUUUUUAACACUUGCAUGAUUAUUACGAAGGGCCUUUUGAAUAAACAACUUGUGGCAACUCAAUAAUUUUGACCUACGCAUAACAAUGAGAUAAAUUAUGAAAAAUAAUAAUAAAUGAUAAUUAAUAAAAAAACCUACAAACUUAGGUAAAUCCCAUAAUAGCUUUAUAUCCAAAAGGACUUUUUCUUGUACUUUCUUUUGUUUUUUUUUUGUUUUUUUUUUUGUUUUCUUUUAUCCCAAAUUGUCAUCAAAUUUUUUUUGCAUCCAAAAACGUGAUUUAGUGCUUUUCACUUAAGCAACACUCAACCCUUCAAUAUCACCGUUAAACUGACGCGAAUCUCCAGACGCAAGUGACAAACGCUUGGUGUUAGAUAUCCGAGGUCCGCAAGUUUGGAAUCCAUAGUUAAAAUCACAAUUUCAGCCUAAAAGCUUAUAUUUUAAAUGAAAUAAACGAAAGGAUAAACAUGUAUACUAUCCGUAAAACCUAGAAGAAAGUUAAAUUCCGAUAAAUAAAACCACCAAGGAUAUUAAGUUUGAUAUACUUUAAACCUACAUGAUAACUAAAAUAGAAGAAAGUGGCGAACACAGAGUUUACCACCUAUAAAAAAAGAAAAAAAGACCAAAAAAAAAAACAACGUGCAGUUUCUGAAGCCUCCUCUCUUAUGUUUGUCCUUUGGAUUCCCCGAUGGAAAUUAUUGUCUACACCUUUAUGCUAACUCACAGAAUAAAUAUUUUGAAAUUUAUAUUUAAAUUGAAAUUAAAUAUUAUACUUGCAUUAAACUAAUCUAACUUUCAAAGAAAAAAAAAAACCACAAAGGGGUGGAUUUCAACUAGUUUUUUUUUUUUUUUUUUUCGGUGGUUUACCCUAUUUUUCAAAUUUACUUUACAUUAUUGCUCUGCAGUUUUAUCUCUAUUUCACUAUAAAUAUUUAUUGAUAGCAUUUAAUAUAUUUUAAAAAUUAAAAGAUAAGUUAGUAGAUUACUAUAUUUUGCCACACCCUGUGAUUUAUUGAAUACGCUUUUUUACUAUCUUGUAAUUUAAAGAUUAAUUAUUUGACAAACUAACUUAAGACUAAACUGUUUAAAUUAGUAUAAAAUGAAAUUAUAAGUCGCAAAAACAAAAAAAACUUUUAAAUGAUAGGCCGAUGGUAAAAAUAAAAAUAUGCAAAAUUAUAAAGGGGCAAAUUCAGCCUUUGUUUGGCGUCGUUAUCAUAUUUUUUUUUUUUUUAAACUAAUUUAAUAUAAUUUGAUGAACUAGCAAAGAGAUUUUUCUGUUAUUGUUAUGACUGAUUAGUUUAAACCAAGUGAUAGAUGCCAAUAAUUUUUUAAAAAAAUUAGAAAGCGGAAAAAUAUUAUUUCUUAAUUAUUAUUUUUUGUUUUACAAAUCAAUAUCUUGAAUGAAAAAAUUAUAAACAAUUUACUGUCAACGAGCCGAACAUAAGUGAACUGGAGCCAGCUUCGUGUGCUCGGUCAUGUUCGUUCGUUAUUAAACGAGCCAAACGCAAGCUAGCUCGCGAAUUGCAAGUUAAUCGUCAGGGGUUGGAUGCAAAAUUGAAAGAAAAUUAAAAAAGUUAGAAUCUAGACCUAAUCAUUGAAAUUUACAAAAUAUAUAAAUCUCUUUGGUAGUGUUUGGUUCGGGAACAAGGGGGGGAAUAAGCCCUUGUUCCCCCCUUUGUUCCCAAACGCAACGUUUGGUUCCCGGGAACAGUAGUUCCCGGGAAUCUGGAACUAGCUGGUAUAAGGCUGGAACUGCUGUUCCACCCGUUUCCUGGAACAAGCUUGUUCCUGGAUGAGAACAAGAUUAAUUAAAAUCUAAAUUUAAUUUUAAUGGCAGUAAAUUAUUAAUUAAUCUAAUUAAUAUAUUUAAAUCAUUAUUUAUUACUUUAAUAAUUAAAUAAUUUAAAUAAUUUAUUAUUUAUAAUUAAAUAUUAAUAAUUAGAUAAUUAUUAUUAUUAAUUUAUUAUUUAUAAUUAAUUAUUUAAUAAUUAUUAUUAUUUAUAAUUAAUUAUUAAUAAUUAAUUUCUUAUUUAUUUUUAACUAAUAUUUUUAUUACUAUUAAUUACAUAAUAUAAUUUAAUUUCAAAUUAUAGCUCUUAUUCCUCUUGUUCCAAUCUAACCAUCCAAACACUAUUUGUCUUAUUCCUAGGAACAACCCAAUUUUCAUCCAAACGCAAAAUUGGUCUAGUUCCUGCUUAUACCUAAACUUGUACCUAUCCCUAGAACUAGCAGUUCUUACUUAUACCCGAACCAAACGCAGCCUUUAUAUUUAGAUUGGUAUAUUCAAGCUAUAUCAGCCGAACACGAGCGAUACUGUUAGCUCGUGCUCGACUCGCUAAGAUUUCGAGUUAAAAAAUUCAGUUUGUAUUCGACUCAUUUAUAAAACAAGCGAUCGAUCCCGCAUUUUGAACAUCUAGUUGGAUUGGGAGCCCUGUAUACCAAACAAGUACUUUAAAUUUUAAUUAAUUUUAAUUUUAAAGCUUUUACAAUAAAUUUUUUGUGAGUACGGUGUACGGUGGACCGGGUGCAGGCAAUAAAUGGCUGGUCCGGUUCUCAUGGCGAGUUACUGCAGGCAAUGUCCGUCGCAGACGUGGUGCGAUAUUUACUCUCCCACCUUCCCUCUCUUUUUCAUUUUUUUUUUUUAAAAGAAAAAAAAUAAAAACCAAAUGUAAUAUUAAAAAAAAUAGGAGGUGUAAAAUGAAAAAAAAACAAAAAAAAAAAACAAAAAGUGAAAGGAAAAGCCACCCAACCACUAACCAUUAAGCCCAGCACGCAUGCGCCCUCCACAAUCAAUACAAAGAUAAGGUAGAAAAUUUAUCAGUAGUCCCUGAUCUAUCCCAAUAUUGCAACUCGGUCCAUAUACUUUUUAUUUAAUAUUGGUAAGAACAUAGAGAUAUUAUUAUUACAUAAAUUAUGGAUCAUUUUGAAUCGAUUAGUCAAUUUUUUUAAAUUUUAAUUUUAACGAACUUUUUUGAAUCGACUAACCAACCUUUUUAAAUUUUAUUUUAAUUAAUUUAAUAAAUUUAUAAUUACGAAAAUUAUAUGACGUAAACACAUUCAAAUUUUAAAGUUCAUAGUUCAGAUACGUUCUUUAUGUUUUUACUUAAUAUAUAUAAUGACUUCUCCUUUUUAUUAUCUAUUUAAUCUCAAAUAUAAUAAUUGUAUAUUUAUUUUCUUUUAAUAAGCAGGAGCUACGGAUCUGUUUAAAUACUUCAAAAUUUUACCGUCAAGUAAUAAUUUAUUAUAAUAUAUGAUUAGCGAAUCUCAGUAUUAUAGUAGUGAAAAAUUAUAGAAAUUUAUAAAUUUGAAUUACGAAAUUUUAAGAUACACGAAUUGUACGCUGGUACUCUAAAAAGUCAUCUAAACAGUCCAAUAAUAUGAAUUUUUGGAAAACAAGAGUUAAAAGUAGAGACUAUAUAUACAAAUUUAAAAAUUAUAGGUUUAGUCUUAUAAAUAUAGUGACUAAAUUGCUAUAUUAAAAAACUAUAGGGACCAUUCGUGCAUUUUAACUCUUCUUUGCCUUUUGCUUGCUCACCACCGACCUUCCCCCUCUCUAUCUCCCUCACUACUUUUUAAAAUAUAAUAAUAAUAAUAAUUUUUUUCUCUUGCAAAAUAAAAUUAAAAUAAAAUAAAAUAAUUAUAAAUUAUAAAAUUAUAAAAAUAAAUAAUAUUCUCUCCUUUUUCCCAUUCCUUUUUUUCACCAUUCAUACUUAGGGGUGGAAACGAGCCGAGCUCGAGCGAGCUUAUGUCAACUCAAAUUCGGCNCUCUCUCCAUUUAUCACUUUUUCUUAAAUAAAUAAAUAAAUAAAUAAAUCCAAAUUAGGAGUAAUAAUAAUCACAUAAACUAAGAUUUAAACUAAAUAAAAUUUGAUUUAUUUUACUCCUCUCUUUUUUCUUUUUUUCUUUUUUUCUUUUCUUUUUUUUUGCUGUGUAAAUAUAAAUAGUGUACCCAUUUUUCUCCAACAUAGUAGCAGUGUUAGUGGUAGUAAUUGUACGAGGAAGAGGAAGAGGAAGAGGGGGAGCUCGUCGUCGGGGAGGAACCCGGCGAGGCGCGGCGGAGGGGCGGAGGAGGAGGCAGCGGCGGCGGCUGCGGCGGCGCUCCGGCGACAGGGGCGGCGGAUGAAGCCGUUCGAGCACGUCGGGAUGAUGUGGUUAUCCGCCCUCACCGCCGCCGCGUUCGCGCUCCUCCUUUGCCUCGUGUACUUGAGCUACGGGGGCGGAGGAGGAGGAGGUGGGGGGAGGGGGAGGUUGGGGAUCGAGUCGGAGGAGAAGGGGACGAGGAGCGGCGGAGGAGGCGAUGGUGGUGGAGGAGGAGGAGGAGGAGGAGGAGCUAGGGUUUGCGAUGUGUUCGAUGGGAGGUGGGAGUUGGACGAGGAGAGUUAUCCGCUGUACGAGUCCAAGGAUUGCCCCUUCUUGGACGAGGGUUUCCGAUGCUCCGAGAACGGGAGACCCGAUCGCUUCUACACCAAGUGGGGGUGGCGCCCCUCCCACUGCGACCUCCCCAGGUUCCUCUCCCCCAUACUUUAGAGCUCAUCUUCGUAUUUUGAUUAAUGGUUGGUUUAGAUAAUGGAGUUGUUGUUGCUGUUGCUGUUGUUUAAUCCUUUGAUGAUGAAUGGGCUCUCAAAUUCCGGUUCAAACAUAUAAUUUAAGGCUCAAUUGUUUAGUGAUUUGUUAUGGGGAACUCAGAUUAGGUUUUUGUGGGAAUUGGGAAUUAUGAUUUGAUUUUGCGUUUGUUGGCACAUAAAAAUUGAAUUUAUAUAUAUAUAUAUAUAUAUAUAUAUAUAUAUAUAUAUAUUCCGAAAUUUGAGGCCUAGAAGUAAUGUUCUUUGAUGGUUUAGGGACAAAUCUUUUGGGUGGGUAAAAAGUAUAUUAGAUUAUAUGAACAUAUUCUGUGUUUCCUCAAUUGAUUCGUUUGCUUGGUCAUAUUAGUAAAAUUAAGUAUUUUGUAGGUUGAAUUCGUUAUUUCUCUUUCGUUGUUAAAAUAUUCUCAAAUGACCCAUUAUUAAAAGAGGUGUUCUUAGGCCACUACUUGGAAACUUCACCCAUGUGUAUUCAAAUGCUUCAUCUUUCUUGGAACAUUUAUUAACGUUUGUUUAGUUAGAUAAUUAGAUUGAUGAGAUCGAGGGGGGACAUAUUAAACCUAUCCCUUCUAUCAGGUUCUUCUUGUCCCUUUUACGGAAUCUUGAGCUUCGGAUAUUUUUAAUAUGUAAUGUGAAUUAAAAUUUGUUGGUUGGUCCAAGCACAUUCAGCUCAUUUUGACUAACCUUGUGGUUAGUCUUAGAAGUUUUGGGCUUAUUCCUAAACGGCCGUUUUAAUUUAUCUUUUAUCAUUUUGGCCCACAUUUUUGCUCAGUUCUAUGGACUUUCUCUUUCAAUGAAGGUUUCACUAUCUUAUAAUGGCUUCUAAUUUCUUAAAAACAAAAAAAAAUUAUUUUUGAUUUUUAAUUUAUUAUGUUAUAUGAGUUUUUAGUUUUUGUAGUUUCCGGAUGCCUGCAUCUCCUUGUGAAUUUUUGGUAGUUUCAAGUAUCUCUUCUUUUAAAUCAAAGUUGACUAUUUCUUUUUAUUUUGUCGGAGAAAUUUUUCUUCGAUGAAAUUGAACGGUAAUUCUGGUUUUCUUAGUUAGUUUUCCUAUUAAGUUAAAUAGUGGUAAGAAAUAUUUGUUUCUUCCAAAAAACAAUGGAGUUACAGAGGGGAUUAUUGCAAUUACAUUGUUUCAUUUUCCACAGUUAACUGCAUAUUUUCGUCUAGGAAAACUGCUUAUUCUGUUCGGCAGCUUGCAUUUUUCUUUUUUCUAUUAUAAAUUUUUUUCUGGCUUGUUGUAAACAACAUUAAAACACUUGUAAGCCUUACUAGAAUGUAUUUGAUGCUACUGUGCUAUUAAUUUGAAACCGGUUAUUAGGCAAGUACUUUGUCAAUUAGUGAAAAAUCCGUGCCUGUUAAGUGUUUAUUGCAUUGGUUUUACGAUCGCAUACUGGUUUCAUAUUUCAAUGGGAGUUAAGAGGAUAUUCCCUCUAAAAUCUUCCUUUUUCCCUUUGUUUCCGUUGGCUAAGAUUUAAUGCAACGAAGAUGCUGGAGUUGCUGCGAAACAAAAGACUGGUAUUUGUAGGUGACUCUAUCGGGAGAAACCAAUGGGAGUCCCUCCUUUGCAUGCUUUCGACUGCUGUUCCAGACAAGAAUUCAUCAAUCUAUGAAGUCAACGGCAAUCCAAUUACGAAGCAUAUGGGGUUCUUGGUGUUCAAGUUCAGGGAUUACAACUGUACUGUGGAGUACUACAGAGCCCCUUUUAUUGUGGUGCAGAGUCGAGCCCCAGCUGGGGUGCCCGAGAAGGUUAAGACCACACUUAAGUUGGAUGUCCUGGAUUGGUCGUCUCCCCACUGGAAGGAUGCCGAUGUGCUCAUCUUUAAUACUGGACACUGGUGGAACUAUGAGAAGACUAUACGAGGGUAAUCAUAUAUUUUUUUGCUUCUUCAGAUUAUUUAAAUCUUUCUCUGUUAAAGAGUUUUAAGUACCUACGCAUAGUUAACUUCAUUAUGGUUUAUGGCAUUUGCAUGCUAUGUCAUUUGAGCUGCCUAAUUUAUCAUCAAUUGUUUCAGUUUCAUACAGAGUCUGGACAUAGUGUACUUUGUCUUAGAAAUGCUAUGAUAUAUUUUCUUCGAAGGAUUUUAUACAAAGAAAGGUUACUGGGAAGAGGGACUACAUUGCACUUACUUUGUUGAAUAGCUCCAUUUUCAUUUUUGUUCCUAUUUAUCUUUUCCUUAUAAUUCACCAAUGACAUUACAUAAACCAUGACUUAUUGGUUGGAACCGUCAUUGAAGGAGCACUACAUGUGGGCUUUGGCUGCCGUAUUAACUUUUGACUUAUUGAACUCAAUCUUUUUGCAACCAGGGGUUGUUUCUUUCAAGAAGGAAAUGAGGUUAAGAUGAGAAUGAGCGUGGAUGCUGCUUAUGAGAGAGCAAUAGAGACGGUUUUUAAUUGGAUUCAGAGAGAGGUUAAUAGAAGUAAGACUCAAGUCAUCUUCCGCACAUAUGCUCCUGUACAUUUCAGGUUUGUACCAAUGAUUAGUUAAUUGCUCUUUCCUCUUUCAUUUCUCGCUGUGUUACUCUCGACUUAGGCUUAGAAUUGUGUUGUCAAAUAAUGCGCCGUGCGAUUUAGUUGUUCUUUUUCUUCUCUUUAGCUUAUUACUAAAGUACUUGUCUUGGAGGAGGCUUAUCAUAUAAUUAUAUCGGCAUAAUGUGCAGUAUAUAGGCUUAGCUCUUAUUUAACCGUUUUGAUUGAUGUCGCAAUAGAUUUAUACCAUUUAAAGUAAUACAAGUGAACAUAAAAAUUUAAAUUCUUUGCCGAAGUGUCUUUUUAACCUCAUAAAAUGAUUUCAUGUCAAAAUCUUUGCCUCCUUAGGACCUUUCAUAAUUUUACGGUCUGAUCAAACUAUUUUUAUAGUAAUUUGUGAAUCGAUAAUUCCCAUUGAUGAAAAGGAGGAAAUAAAGGUGCCUCAUUGUUAGAUGCGACGAAAGUUUUGAGAAAUACUUAUAAGCUUCAAGCGUCGCCCAAAUGGUUGAUUAAUGUUGGUUAUCGGCAGCAUCUCUAGUUCUCUUUAGUUGCCCUCAAGUGCUCCAUCCACUAAUGUUGUCCUAUCAAUGAGACCAAUGGGUGGACCGCGAAAACUCUUUUGCCAUAAUAUAUCUGGGCUCUGAUUGUCAGUUUAUUCCGUGAUGUUUGAGUUCAAUUUCAUAUAUGUCCUCAAAACUUUAACUUCGAAAUCCAGAUUCUAGUCAUAUGCAACUUCCUAGGGGCGUUAUCCGCACCGAAAAUAACAUAUCCAACAUAAAGUUGCACAAUAAUACUCAUCUGUUAUGCUUGGUGAACAAGGUGACCUAUAAUUGAUUCUCUAGGUAAUUAUUCCAGAUGACAGGAACUCGAUUUGUUCUUUCGUUGGUUCAUUCUCCAUAUCUGUCGCAAAUUGGAUUUGAUCGGUGAUGACGAUAACCUCGGUGGCCAAAUGUGCGAAAAAAAACUACAUUUCACUUGUGCUCAGCGAUUUUCAUUUACUGUUUAGUGUCUGACACAAGUUCCUCACUUGCAGAGGUGGCGACUGGAAAAUGGGAGGUAGCUGUCACAUGGAAACGUUUCCAGAGCUCCUUACUAAGCCGUCGACGAAGCCGUGGGCUCGCCUGCUGAAACCGUUCACGAACUCUACUAAGUCCGGCGGUGGUACCACCGUGCCGCUCGAGCUCGUGGAUGUGCUCAACGUGACCGAAAUGACGGCUCAGCGGAAAGACGGCCAUCUAUCCGUAUUUUACCUCGGCGCGUCUUCGGGCCCGGCCCCCCUCCACAGACAGGACUGCAGCCACUGGUGCUUGCCGGGCGUGCCCGACGCGUGGAACGAGCUACUCUACUACCUUAUCCUCAAAAGGGCGGAUCGAUCUGUAAUCACCUGGCGAACUUCUUAGAUGCAAUAAUAAAUUCGCCAUUGAUUCAAGUUUAGUGAGAGUAGAAGCUACGUUCGCCGUCGAGAUACCCCUCCUGGCUCAAUUCCCGGAGAACAGCUUCUCUUUGGGCGGGAACAUCCGAAAUGUAGACCACGGCCGAGCGGUUCUUCGCGGUCGAUGACGGAAACGAGAACAGUUCUACCCUUGCUGAAACUGAAUCGCAGCUGAAUCACAAUUUCGUUGAUCUGAACACCACCGCCGCUGCUGUGUCUCCGUACAGAAUUACCAGUACAGUUAAUCUUGUCUGAGCAUGCUUCGAGUCGUCAAUCAGUGAUUGCAAAAUUUCUUCUUCAUUUUUUUUUUUUUUUAAUUCUUAUAGUUUUGUUUCUGCUGCAGGGCUUGUUAGUAGCAAGCUACAAAAUGGUAGCCGUGUAUAGAGAAAGCAAUAGCGUGAUACAUCAGAAUUUUAAUUAUAGAUUCACCUUUGUAAAUGGAUUCAAGUUCACAUGUUUUUAGAAGGUGUUUGGUUUUUCGUAUAUAUAUUUUUUAAAAAAAGUGUAGUGACUUAAUAAUACGUACAAUUUGAAACAAGUGGAGGGACAAAUUGACCUAACUAUAUUUAUUUAUUAUAUAAAAUUAAAAGUUAAUUUAAAAUGUUAGCGCUCGUCAAUCUAAGCUUGACCCGUUACGACCCCUCCCCACCCUUCCGCGCCGUGCGCGACGCGUGCGAAGGUCCCGCCACGUGUGUCACACAUUCGCGCCACGCGUCCCCACACGCACCGCCCCUACAAUCUUCGCACCUCGUUAUAAAAUCCUUCCCUCUCUACGCUCUUCGCACUCACAACCCUUUCAAUUUUGAUGCUCUCAUCAUCUCUCGCAGUUCACAAGAGAACUCCACUAAUACUCGCCGCCGCCGCUGCUUCUGCUGCUUCUGCUUUUCAUCUUUCAUCUUCCCAUCUCUACACAAACAGCAUUGCUGCUGCUGCUGCUGCUCGAAGCUGCCAUUUUCGUGCGGCGAAGAAAAGUAGUGGUAGAGAGAUUUAUCGCGAGAAUUCCGCGGGUGCGCCGCGGCGACGGCCUUCUUGUUCUCCAAGAGGAGAGGCUUUUGCGGUCGCGAGAAGCUGCAGCAUGGCUUCGGGGGGCGCCGCAGGCAGCCAGAAGUUCCCGCCGCAGAUGCAGGAGCGGCAGCCGGGCAAGGAGCACGCCAUGGAGCCGACGCCGCAGUACACUUCCCCUGACUACAAGCCCGCCAACAAGCUCCAGGCCUGUUCCUACAUCUCUCUCUCUCUCUCUAUUAUACGAAACUUAUCUGAAUUAUUGACUAUUUUGAAUCGCCGGCUAUUCAGAUUCUCUAAUUUGUUUGAUUUGAAACCGUCAAUAAUUUUUUAAUUUUAAAAUUAAAAAUUUAAAUCAAAUAAGAUUGAGAAAAUUAAAAUUUGAAAGAUCUGAAUAGUUCUGUUCUAUACGGUGGUGCAAUUGGCAGGGGAAGGUGGCGGUGGUGACGGGGGGCGACUCCGGCAUCGGCCGCGCCGUCUGCUACUGCUUCGCGCAGGAGGGCGCGACGGUGGCCUUCACCUACGUCGAGUCGCACGAGGACAAGGACGCCAAGGACACGCUGCAGAUGCUCCGGGACAUAACGAAGAAGCACGGGACGACCGCCCACGCGAAGGAGCCGAUGGCGAUCCCCGCCGACCUCGGCUGCGAGGAGAACUGCAAGAGGGCGGUCGACGAAGUCGUCGGCGCCUACGGCCGCGUCGACGUCCUCGUCAACAACGCCGGCGAGCAGCACGUGAAGGAAUGCAUCACCGAGAUCACCGCCGAGCAGCUCGACCGCGUCUUCAAGACGAACAUCUACUCCUACUUCUUCAUGGCCAAGUACGUAGUUCAAUGCAACCGAGCUGAACUGUUGAAUAUAAAUAUUAAAAAUACCGUUCUCUGACAGCUUAAACAUGAUAUCUGUUUGUUUGUUUGUGUGUACGAAGGCAUGCGGUGAAGCACAUGACGGAGGGGGGGAGCAUCAUCAACACGACGUCGGUGAACGCGUACAAGGGGAACGCGAAGCUCCUCGACUACACGGCGACGAAGGGGGCGAUCGUGGGGUUCACGCGCGGCCUGGCGCUGCAGCUGGCGGAGCGGGGGAUCCGCGUGAACGGCGUCGCCCCGGGGCCGGUGUGGACGCCGCUGAUAACGUCUUCCUCGCCUCCUUCGCCGACUCCUCCUACAUCUCCGGCCAAGUCCUCCACCCCAACGGUAUGUUUAUGUUUAUGUUUAUGUUAUGUUGCCAUUGUGUAUGUAUUUCUCAUAUAUACAAAUUAACAUUCAUUCCGGUUACGUGCAAUGCCGAUUUCAUAUUAGGGUUAAUUGCGAAUAUGUCCUUACAAAUAUAAUAAAUUAUAAUUAUUUCUCUUUAAAGUUUGACGUUUAGCAUUUAUAUAUAUUUUGUUUCUGUAAAGGCCCUAAUAUUUUUAAAUAUGUUUGGCCGUUACAAUUCGUUAGAAAAAAUUUGUUAAGCAUAGAAUAAAUACUCAACCAUGGUUAGUUUACGAGAUAAUUUGAUAUUUUUUACUACUGGUAUAUUAUACUAUUGUGGUUUUUUAAAAGACAUAUUUGUGAUAAUAAAAUUAAAAAUAUAAAUAUUUGUUUAAUCUUUUUUAAUGGUAACAAAUCAAAAGGAACAUGUUUAAAAGUAUGAGAACUUUUAUAAGAACAACAUAUAAAAAUUGAAUUUUAUUAAAAUAUAUUUGUAAUGUACUGUGCUUGUAGGGAUUAAAGGACUUACAUGCAUUUAAUCCUUCGUCUUAUAUACGUUGAACUUGUACAAGUUGGAUGAUAUUAAAUAAAAAGAAUAUAAAGCAAAGAUGUAUACAUUUGCAAUAAUAUAUAUAUAUAUAUAUACACACACACACGUAUGUAUGUAUGUUGUUGUUGUUGUGUACAAUAUUUUGGGUUCAUUUUCUUAUGUGGAUUCUCUGCUGCUGCUUGUUGCAGGUGGUGUGAUUGUGAAUGGCUAGAGAACAAAGUGUUCAGCAACACCUGUAAAGGUUUAAAGUUCGAGAGAGGGAGUUUUUGGUUUUAAUAAUAUGUAUGAUAUGGAAUAAUAAUAAUUAUUAUUAUAAUAAUAUUAUUAUAAAUCUAGUGACAUGUGGACUAAAAUAUAAUGUUUCAGCUAUGUUGGUUUGUUGUUGUAGUUCUCAAAUUGUGUGUCAAUUAAAUAUGGUGUAUGGGCAUAAUAAGUAAAGUUGUUAUCAAGAAUCUCUUUUCCUUUUUUUUUCUCCCUAGAUUGUAUGUGAAUUGGUACUAAAUUUAAAAUUUCGUUGUCAUUCAUUUGUUUUCAGUCAUGAAUUUUUCAAAUCGAUGAUCGACAUUAUUGAAUAUGAUCUAUAUUACUUGAAAUAUUUAAAAAUUAAAUUUUAUAUAUUUUUUUUAAUAUUUGUUUUUUUUGUCCAUCAAGUGGAUAAAAAUAAACGGCUGAAAAUGAUAUCUUUUAAUCUAUAAAGAACUGAAUGUCAGUCAUGAGCAGCACUACAUCUGAAUAAUUCAUCUUAAAUCCUCUCAACAAUUAUAUUCAGUAAACCUGAAGAUCCCCUAUACUUGUACUGUAAUAAUACAGUUUCCUUGAGCCAUUAAAGAGAAUGAAAGAAACAUGAAUUCUCUGACAUAGAAAGGAUAUGAAUAACCUCUCUCUCUAUCUCCACAAUCUAGUGGAAGAUGGAGGCAACAAAACCGAAGAUCUAAGAGCUGCUAUUCUAAGCAGCACUUUCCGGCUGCCGCGUUCUCUCUUCUCGUAUACCACUUCUUACUUUCUGCAGUCGCUUCGACAGACGCCUUUCACUAUCGAAACUAGGCGGCGGGAGAGUGCACGGGUAAGUAGGAGACGGAGAAGCGGCCGACCGUUCCAGGAACUGCCUCUGCUGCUCGUCUGCGACGCAGAGAAGGGAGUCGACGCAAACUUCUUGCGCUGACGGAGGCGGGGUCGGCUUGAAGUCCAGCAGUUUCGAGUACUCCACUAUGAGGUGGUACAUGUAGUCGUACACGCGAUCCAUGUCCAAGUCCUGCAUCAGUUUCUGUCCCCGUUUUCCGAUAGCUUCCGCCUGUUUGUUUCAUUAUCAUCCGAGAAUCUCACAACAAAUGCAGUAGUAUUGACUCGCAAAAUAGAGAUCAUAUUUCAUAUCUGAUGUUAGCAUCUGAAAAAUGAUGUUCGUUUGUGUGGCACUUUUCCGUAAAGCAGGUAAACUAACAGAAUAAUUUCGUCGUCAGAAGCUGUAAACUUAACUUCGAGGACGCAAUUGAGACGGCCGUCGCAAAGUUUUUCAAGAACUAAACUUGCAGUUAACCACUGACACAAGCAUCAGAAAUUGCAGUUUGCUAUAGAAGCUGCUUAGCAAGAUUAUCAGGUUGAGCAGAUACAAACAAUAAGCACACUGCUCGACUUCGAGAACAGAUGAAACUGACCAAAAAUUGUAAGUACCUGGGACGGGUGCGCGUUUCCCCAGUCGACCGCGGACUUUAUGGAUCGACACAAGUCGGCGGAGCUGACGGGCCAAUAGUUCUCCUUCGGAACCAGGCCACGGCUGAAGAAAUCUUCGUACUGGGGAUCGACGACGAAGGCUAGAGAUCCACAAGAGAGAAUGUAUUUCAAGCUAACCGACCACGCGUAACCCUCGGCGUAAAUCUUAUAGCUGCGAAAGGAUCAUUAGAAAUAAGAUGGGCUGCGCAAACGAAAAGAAGUUGAAUAGUUUCAUUCGCUAGUAGCUAAGACCGACCGGUGGUUGCAUUGGCUCGAAAGCUUAGAUUUCUGAAAACCGGAGCUCGAUUCUUCGCCCCAAUCCUGCGAAGGGAUAAGAAGACGCAUUUAGCCACAUCAAAUGGCCAAAUUGGCGAGAGAAAUUGCAGUGAUCAGCACAAAUUAAGAUCCAAUAUCGAUACUUGACGCAUAAUUCGGGCUCCCCAUGUCUUAGAGUCAUUACAGCUUAGCAGCGCCGUCCUUACGGGGGAUUCGACAUUUGGGUUUCCCUUCCAAUAUGCGGUUUUCGCCCUCUUCUUCCAUUUCACGGCUUGAGCACCGAGCUUUAUGCUUCUGAACUCUUCGUUCCACGGUUUUAUGUUUAUCUCCGGCCUGCACAACCGUUUGCGUACGAAAAGUGAGAUUUGCAGGGUAGUUUCUUACUUACUGCGAAGAGCUGACGAAAACGCAUCAGGCGACGAUCGUUUUAGAAUUACAACCAUUCCUUUUACGAAGUUUUCGAAUUACCGACGAAUGCGAAUCGGAAUGAAUUUCAGUAAAGCAGGCAACAAAGCAGUAUAUCAUAUAUGCAUUAUUGAAAGAUUCAUACAAAAAUUGCAUCUUUGUGUAGAAUAAUAAUUCGAGAAUUCGCAAUGCUUACCAACCCCAAAAGGACCAAUCCGGAAAGGGAAUGUCGAAAUGGUCCUUAGUGGUGCAGUAUCGGAACAGCGGCGGGGGGAUCGGGGCGUCGGGAUCGUUGCUGCGGUAGUCGGAUCGGUUGAUCGCGGGGCGAUCCAUGCAGUCGAACAUGAGAUCGGCGUCGGGGAGGAUGCCGGGGUAGCGGCGCAUCAGCUGCAGGAUCCCCCACACGGUGAAGAGGGCGCGGCUCUGGACGCAGGNAUAAGAAGACGCAUUUAGCCACAUCAAAUGGCCAAAUUGGCGAGAGAAAUUGCAGUGAUCAGCACAAAUUAAGAUCCAAUAUCGAUACUUGACGCAUAAUUCGGGCUCCCCAUGUCUUAGAGUCAUUACAGCUUAGCAGCGCCGUCCUUACGGGGGAUUCGACAUUUGGGUUUCCCUUCCAAUAUGAGGUUUUCGCCCUCUUCUUCCAUUUCACGGCUUGAGCACCGAGCUUUAUGCUUCUGAACUCUUCGUUCCACGGUUUUAUGUUUAUCUCCGGCCUGCGCAACCAUUUGCGUACGAAAAGUGAGGUUUGCAGGGUAGUUUCUUACUUACUGCGAAGAGCUGACGAAAACGCAUCAGGCGACAAUCAAUCGUCUUAGAAUUACAACCAUUCCUUCUACAAAGUUUUCGAAUUACCGACGAAUGCGAAUCGGAAUGAAUUUCAGUAACAUUAUUGAAAGUCAUAUAUGCAGGGCAACAUUAUUGAAAGAUUCAUACAAAAAUUGCAUCUUUGUGUAGAAUAAUUCGAGAAUUCGCAAUGCUUACCAACCCCAGAAGGACCAAUCCGGAAAGGGAAUGUCGAAAUGGUCCUUAGUGGUGCAGUAUCGGAACAGCGGCGGGGGGAUCGGGGCGUUGGGAUCAUCGAUGCCGCCGCCGACGUCGCUGCGGUAGUCGGAUCGGUUGAUGGCGGGGCGAUCCAUGCAGUCGAACAUGAGAUCGGCGUCGGGGAGGAUGCCGGGGUAGCGGCGCAUCAGCUGCAGGAUCCCCCACACGGUGAAGAGGGCGCGGCUCUGGACGCAGGCGUAGUAGAGGUCGACGAAGAGGCGGCGGCCGCCGCCGGCGACGACGACGCGCAUCGCGGCGCGCCGCCGCGCGUCCUCGAGGAGCGCGGCGGAGAUCCGCGCUCGCCGCCACGGGGCGAGGUCGCGCCGGAUCGCGCGGAAGAAGCCCGGGCACGCGGGGCGCGGGCGCGCGGGGUCGGGGGCCGAGGAGGAGGGGAUUUUCCGGCGAGCGACGGCGGAGGAGAGGGGGCAGGAGAGGUAGGCGCAGCGGAGGAGGGAGAGGUUGGGGUUGGGGUUGGGGUUGGGGUUGGGGCGGGGGAAGGGGUGCCAUGGGGUGGGGGCGAGGUUGUGGCCGGUUAGGGUUGGGGUGCGGGAGGAGAGGGAGGAGAGGGAGGAGGUUAGGGUUUGGAGGGAGAGGAGGAGGAGGGCGGCGGCGGCGAGGAGGAGGGGGAGGAUGAGGCGGCGCUCCACGCCGCCGCCGGCGGCGGCGGCGGAGCUUCUCGUCGGCGACGGAGAAGACGACGCCAUUGACGAGCUUGAGUCGACCGUUGGAAGCUAAAAGCUUCGUAAUAUUUGGAACAGGACUACACGAGAGAGGGAGAAGGCGCUUUAGCUCACAAGCCCCUCUUAGUUUACAUAUUUACAGUUUCACUCCAUCCUUUUGGUUUCCAAAGUACACGUAAAAUUGCGUAGGAGGCCUCUAAUAUUCUAAUUAUUGUAAUUAGGGUCUUUGCCGCUUAACCAAAUUUUAACUAAGUUUCUAGUCCCUCUAAAUAAGACGUGUAUACUAAUAUUUAUUUUUAGUAUAGAGAAUCAUAAUUCAUUAAGACAUUUUAUUUAUUGAAGAAGUGUCACAUAAAUUUAUUAACAUAAUAAUUAAAUCGAAUAGUUUAAAGAGUCAAAAUAUUUUUUAAAUGUACCACAUAUGGAAGGAACAUUCAUCAAAAAUUUCAAAUUAAACUAAAAAUAUAAAAUUAUACGAAUAUAAAAAUAUCUAUAAAAGAAUAUUAAAAGACGAAAGUAUUAGAAUAAAAGAUAAAAAGUGGUUGCAUAAAAUUGAGUACAAACUUAGCCUCAAAGAAAAUUAAAAUAUGAAAAUUAAAAAUAUCUAUAUCUUGAACCCUCUUGCAUACUGUAUUUUUUUACACAAAAUGAUUUUACCAUUCAUUAGUAGAAGAAUAAAAUUAGAAAUUUUCAAUAUGAACAAUUUAGAUGUAUCAAUAAUAAAAUAAUUUUGCGUAUAAAAAAAUUAUAUGUAUAGAACUGUACAAAAACUGCGCCUCUCUUUUUUAACCUAAAAACUAAAUAUAUAUAUUUCUAUGCGAUUGAUAAAAACCUCUAACCUUUUAAGAUGACACACAAAUAACAACAACUGGGAUAAAGUAACUUGUGCUCCUUAAUUAAGUGAGGAUGCAANCGGCGGCGGAGCUUCUCGUCGGCGACGGAGAAGACGACGCCAUUGACGAGCUUGAGUCGACCGUUGGAAGCUAAAAGCUUCGUAAUAUUUGGAACAGGACUACACGAGAGAGGGAGAAGGCGUUUUAGCUCACAAGCCCCUCUUAGUUUACAUAUUUACAGCUGCAAUCCAUACUUUUGGUUUCCAAAGUACACGUAAAAUUGCCUAGGAGGCCCCUAAUAUUCUAAUUAUUGUAAUUACGCUCUUUGCCGCUUAACCAAAUUUUAACCCAGUUUCUAGCCCCUCUAAAUAAGACGUGUAUACUAAUAUUUAUUUUUAGUAUAGAGAAUCAUAAUUCAUUAAGACAUUUUAUUUAUUGAAGAAGUGUCACAUAAAUUUAUUAACAUAAUAAUUAAAUCGAAUAGUUUAAAGAGUCAAAAUAUUUUUUAAAUGUACCACAUAUGGAAGGAACAUUCAUCAAAAAUUUCAAAUUAAACUAAAAAUAUAAAAUUAUACGAAUGUAAAAAUAUCUAUAAAAGAAUAUUAAAAGACGAAAGUAUUAGAAUAAAAGAUAAAAAGUGGUUGCAUAAAAUUGAGUACAAACUUAGCCUCAAAGAAAAUUAAAAUAUGAAAAUUAAAAUAUCUAUAUCUUGUACCCUCUUGCAUACUGUAUUUUUUUACACAAAAUGAUCUUACCAUUUAUUAGUAGAGGAAUAAAAUUAGAAAUUUUCAAUAUGAACAAUUUAGACGUAUAAAUAAUAAAAUAAUUUUGCGUAUAAAAAAAUUAUAUGUAUAGAACUGUACAAAAACUGCGCCUCUCUUUUUUAACCUAAAAACUAAAAAUGAAAAACUCAAACCUCAUAAUUUGAAUAUAUAUUUCUAUGCGAUUGAUAAAAACCUCUAACCAUUUAAGAUGACACACAAAUAACAACAACUGGGAUAAGUAACUUGUGCUCCUUAAUUAAGUGAGGAUGGAAAUGUAAGGUUUCGAGGGACGGAUGUAAAAAUUAAAAAUUUACAAGGACGUACCCGUAAUAUUCCCCGUUAUAAAAGGCGCCUCGACACCGGUUCCCGCGCCCCCACCUCGCGACUCGGCAAUUUUCGCGCCCUUUUCUCCCUCCUCGCUCCGACGUUUUGGCGCGAAAUCUCAUGCCUAGGGUUCGGAUCUCAAUCCCCAGCAAUGGAGACCCCUUUCGCUCGAUCCCUUCUCCGUCUCCGCCUCCGCCAUGGAUCGGGAGAGAGGCGACGCUCCUCCCUACGAAGGCGCGGUGCGUCCUCGAUUCUCCCUUUUUUCCCCGAUUUUUUACGAUUGUUUUGUGAUUUUUUUGUUGUGAGGUUGCUAAUUUUAGGGUGGAAAUCGAAAUUUUCGGCGUUUUGAUCUCAUUUACGAGUUGGUGGAUUGUAGGAAUAGAGUAAUUGGAUCGAAUAGAGGAGAAAACUUGUUGCCCUAGUUGUUAAAGAAUCUCGAUUCAUAUAUGCACGCAUUUGAACUGUUGUAUUCCACUCAUUCUUCAUUUAGAAUUGGUUCUUAUUCUCGUGAAUCGAUUGGAAAUUUAGCAUCUAUCUUUGGGUCAAUUCACGUUUUAACCGACCCUUUUGAUUCAAUAGCCCCAGUGCCCCUGCAGAGUGAUCAAAUUUUAGUUAAAAUCGAUUCGAAGUAGCAAUUGACCAAAACGUAGCAGAAAUUAUAGUUAAAGCUUUGUCCUUUUCGAUAGUUUGAAUCAUAUUAUUUUCAUAGUUAUAAUCAUUUUCCCAGGAAAUGGUAUCACAUUCUUUCAAAUUUUCUCUUUUUUUUUUUCUGAAAUCUACUUUUCCUUUCAAUAUCAUACUUCUAUCACAGUAACUUCUCUACCUCAACACCUGCUCCUUUUGUCGCAUCAGAGUUUCGGUGUAGUUUAUGGUGACCUGAGCAUUUCUCCUCUUUAUGUAUAUAAAAAAAAGAGCAUUUUCUAGGAGACUAAGCCAUCACCAUAAUGAGCAAACAAAAUUUGGUGUGUUUUCCUUGAUAUUUUGGACAUUCACUUUGCUUCCCUUGCUCAAGUACGUUAUCAUUGUAUCGAGCGCUGACGAUAACCUAGAAGGUGAGCAAGGAAAUGCAUUGCUAUUACUGUAUAAUACCUCAUUAUUUGUGGUGAUAUACAUAUUGUUUAUAGGGGGAAAUUUUGCUUUGUACUCUCUCCUCUGCAGGCAUGCCAGGUUCAGUUUACUUCCUAACCAGCAAGCAGCUGAUGAGGAACUUUCAUCGUAUUACAGACCGGGAUACACAAUUCGGAAUACUAUGUCCUCUGCAUUGAGACGGCUCUUUGAAAAGCAUAGGUAAGUCGAGAACUUGCUUAUGGUGUUCUUCGGAACUUCCAUGGUAUAUUGGUUAUGGUGUUAUCACAACGGUAAUAUUUUGUAGUACUACUGCAUAUGUUUGAUCUUCCCUCAAUCUCUUUGGAUCUUAAUUUGCUUUUGCUGCUAAAACCGGUUGCCAUUUUUUACAGUUCUAUCAUCUACUUCUGGUCCUCAAAUUCGGGCAAAUAGGAUUGACUAAUGGUUACUUUGUUCUAAUUUUAAAUUUAGUGCAGUGGAACCCUAAUAUAUGGAUACAGUUCAUAUUUUACUUGAUUUUGGGCAUAUUAUGCUGUUCUGGAUGAUGGAUCUGACGAAAGAUUCAUAGAGCCUCUUAGUUCUCUGUGAAUUGCUCAUAGUUAAAAAUUUAAUCUUAAUAUGCAAGCCUCCAAAAAUAACACAGCUGUUUAUCACCUCUCCAUCUGUCAUGGCUUGAAAAUCCUAUCAAAAUGACGAUUUGUUCCGAAAGGCCCAGCCCCUGCAUUUAGAAACUUAAGAAAAUCAAUGUCGCAAGGUAAGUUACUGUUAUACAGUAUUAUGUAUUUCUCAGAUAAUACAUUAUCUCGAAUUUUUUUCUCUAGAUCUCCUCUAUAUAAGAUGAUUAUGUGCUAUAGUUUGGAGAUUCAGUUUUUCGGAAAUUAAUACUUCCAAUGUUAUGUAGGUGCAUAUCAUCUUGAUUGUGUAUGUAUCUACCUAAGUUCUUUACUCUUAUCUAUUAAUGAUGUAUCCUUCUUCAAAUAGCUUUCUGUUUGGAACUUUAACAAGUAAACAUUUUCUUUUUUCGUUUCUUGCUAAAAGGCGAGGCUGCACUAGUUGUCUGCAUAGUGCUGCUUCGCCUCUUUGCUUCGCAGCACAGGGGCACUCAGAGAGUUGCCUUCCUGUUUCAACCUGUUGUUAUCAUUUGGCUCUUGCGUACCGGCGUAAUCAGCCUGUACAACAUCAUUUACUGGAACCCCGACACGUAUUUGUGCUCUCUCUCCAUAUUACAUGAUUAAAUUCUUUACAAGGACCGGGACAGACGGAUGGAUAUCUCUCGGCGGAGUACUUCUUUCUAUGACAGGUAUCUAAUUUGCUAUGUUAACAUUCAAGCAGAAUAUAGUGCUUCUUUUUCUUUUUCUUAUGUUAUGUGGCAUCUGCAGGUACAGAAGCUAUUUUCGCAGAUCUUGGCCUCUUCACUGUUGCAUCCAUCAGGGUAUGUUGCAUUAUGAUCACUUCUUAAAACAAAAUACUAUGAUUUCUUUAACAGCAGACUAUCUGCAAAAAGUUAUAGAAAAACCGAAUGAUUAGGCAAAUAUUGUUUUCUAAAAGAGAAAUGAUCUACAAAAUGUCACUCUGCUGAUCAGAGCAAUCACUGGUUCAAAGAUAACAUUCUCUCUUACUAAUUGACGCAUUAUACGUCUCAAGCAUGGGAGGUAUCCAAGCAUUGAAGAUAUUGAAGGCAAUAUACUAGAUUAAUUUACUAGAGUAGGGCUGCUGUAGUCUUAUGAGUAUAGUCCUUCGUACUCACAAGUCGUUUUCAAUGAUAAGGCUUCUGAAUCGACGAUUCACUUCGUUAAAUAUGAUCUAGAGUAUUUAAAACUUCUAGAAUAUAAAUUUCGUAAUUUUUUGAAAUCAUAAUAAAGCCUAUCAAGCGGGUAUUAAAUGAACAGUCAAAAUCGAACAACAUUCGAAAAAUGGAUGAUCGGAUUCUUCAAUUUAAGAUCAGAGUUAUUAAUCUUUACCUAGAUAGUGAAUAGAAUUUUUUAUGAAAAAUUCAACCUAGUUCAAUUCUUUUAUACCGUUAAACUAGUAAGUAUUUCAUAUCGGCCGUUAAAAAUUGUCAAUUUUGAAAUCUUUUGAUCGCAAGGUGAAUAAUGUCGAAAAAUUAUGAAAUUUGAUUUCUAGAAGUUUUAAAUAUUCUAGAUAAUGUUUAACUGUAUAAAUUGUCGAUUUAGAAGCUUUAUUAUAAAAAUUGACUUAUGAGUACGAAGGCGAUCGUACUCAUAAGAGUAUAAUAGCUAAACUCUAAUUUACUAUAGAUCCCUUUUUAUAAAAAAAAAAAAAAAAAAUUGUAAACUUCCAAAUAUUGCAUAAAAACCCUUGGUAACUUGUUAUUUUCAUGACGGCCCAUCUAUAAUCAUUCUCGGUUGUGCGUAAUAUCAUUCUCUCUCUAGUCGAAAAAGGAUGGCCCAGAUCUCUGUAUACCUGAAAUCAACAGGAUCCUCAUGCUUCUUUGCAUGGCAAGGCGAUUUCAGUUUGCUGUUUGUCUGCUGUCGAUUUCUUUACAUGCAGAAAGUUGUGUUAGUUCUUGUUUUUUUUUUUUUAAGUUCACCAGUCUUCCAAACUGCAAUUCUGGCCGAGUCGAAGAUUGUCAACACGGCAGCCGAGAAAGACAAUUUUAGAUUUUUAGAUUUUUUUUUUUUUUUAGGGUUUCCGGCCGCUUGUAAUCUGUAUUUUAAAUGUUUUAUUAUACUUUUCUCUCUCUUGCAAAUUAUUUUCCUUUCCUAAUUGUAUAUGAGGUAAAUUAUGUUAUUUAAGAUUUAGCAUUCUAUCAAUUUAAAAGUUUCCAGUGAUUAAAGGGCUUUCACAAAUCUAGUUCUUCCUAAUGUAUUUUCUAAUGAACUCCCUCAGUAAGCUGCUAUAUAAAUAAUAAGUAAAAAAAUAAAAAAGAAAAAGGGAAAAUAAUAUCAUACACCCUCCCCACCACACCACACCACACCACCCUUCAAAACAUGAUAUUUCAUAGAACCUACCCAUCGUGUACGAAAUCCAAAAUAAAAAAUAAGAAAGAAAAAAAGAAAAUUUGAGUAGGAUGAACAAAGAGAGUGCAUUUACAAUGAAUGCUCCAAUCUAACAUCCAUAGAGCAGCAAAAAUUGGACACACAACUUUCAACCAGAAGAAACAAAACAGUCCAAGAAAAUACCAACCGCCAUACCUACUUGACAAAAUCACAUCCGUCGAACCGUACAGUUCGCACAACAAAGCUGAUCACUGCACAUUUCUUCAACUAUACUAAACCAAUAUACGGACUAAAUAAAAGCUCAAGCAUUUGGAAACACCGACCAACUGAAACAUAACAGAAUGUAGAGCGAAGAACAUUAGCCUCCCUUCGAACCAGAGCAGUAAGGGAGAGUCCAUACAACAACCUUCGAUCCCCUUCCGCCUCUUCAAGUAAGUUAUUUUGUAGCAUCGAACGAACAAACUCCACCUUGGUCGCAAUAACAUAAAGAGACGUGCAAAGAGUGUUUAUUCGAAACUUCGUCUCACUGCACGAUUCGUCUCCCAUGGGACAUUCAUUUAAGUUAAGAUCAUAACAGAGAGGCAAAAGGAUGUUCAAAGUCAGGAAAGAAUAAUUUCUUUUUUUUACUUUUUUUUCUUUUAACUUCAUGUACUGCUUGCUGAAUUACAGUUUUCAUGGCCCCACCAGUGAUGGUUUUCCAUGGCAUUACAUGAAACAGCAGCUCCUUUUCGCUCCGUACUGCUUUCUGCUUUUAGACCAAUAGGAUGAAUAUAAAAGAUCAAGCCCCUUAGAUCAUUCAGCAGGAUGUUUCCGAUAAAACAGGAGUAAGGACUUGGAGACAUUAUCCGAGUAAUAGAACAUAAAAGAAAAAAAAAAAAAAUUGAAACCAGAAAAGAAUAAGAAAAUUUGAACAUUUACAGACCCCCUAGUGGCUGGCUGUAACACAUUAAAAAGACAAUGCACAAAUCCUUAUCCAUGCUCCAUCCAAUAAAGCGUCAAAUGCGAAAACCUCAGGCAAAGUAAUAAAGCUUGCAAAGUUUUCCUGUUCAUUUUUCACAAAAUUGGUAGGUUUAAAUAGCAGGUCGUUGUUUAGGCAAGCAAAAACCUGAAAACGUCGCUUAGUGAUAUUAUGCCCUCGACACGCUUGCUACCGGCCUCGACAAUAAUCACACGGCGAACACCUGAAAUAAGGGAAAACUGUACAGGUAAGAAAUGAAAACUCCAAUUGUUUUCUUCCGUUUGUUUUCUUUAUCUAUUGAACAUAACAGAAAACUCCGACUGUGAGAUUUGUAUUCGCAAGUGUGAAAUGUUACCGGGGCUUGCCAAUCGCUCCAUCACUUUAAGCAAUGUAUCAGAGCGGAGGCACAUUUGGCAUCUCUGUCCAUAGAAGAACCUGUGCGGCGAAUUCGCAUCUUGGGCAAGUUGCAGUGCCUGUGAAUUAUGGAGAAUGAAGCAAUUACAUUGCUCACUAAAUCUCCUUUUGUCUAAAGAAUGUAGCAAACUAAGGCCUCAUUCGGCAUCAUGUUUGUUUUUUGUUUUUUUUAAGCAAAAUUUUGUAUAUCAAAAGGUGUAGAAGUAGACAGUGAAUUGUUUGCAAUCUUUUCAUCCAAAGUGUUUACUUAGACACAAAAAAAAAAUAAAAAACUUGCAAACAACUUUUUUUACUUAAUUUUUUUUAACAAGUAAUCUACCACUUGACCGGAUGCCUUGUAAGCUAACCAACUAUAACAACAAGACAAGUCUUUCUUCCAACACAUCAAAUUAUAUAGAAUUAGUGUUUAAAAAAAUAAAAAUAUGACAACAAUAUCAAACGAGGCCUAAGUCAACAAUUUUUUAGACAAAUUAUGGAAAACUCUUUCUAAGUUGACAUAAAACAAAACAGGUUUUCGUAUUACCUGAUGGAUACUCAUCUCAUCAAGGUGAAUAUGGGUAUAAGCUCUGUCUUUAGCCAAUGAUGUGAUGUCACUGCGGAUGGAAGAGCAAGCACUAGUAAUUCCACAGAACUUGUUUUUUUUUAAAAAAAAAGACUCCAGAUAUCAAAAGGUUGCCAUCAGUUGUACCUUCUAGAAUAUGUAUCCAGCAACGAGUCAUUGUCAUCAACAAUAGGUAUUGAACUUACACGAGCUGUAGUCAAUAAACACAGAAACCUAGUGUAAGGUAACUACUAUGAAAUUGCAAGAGAAAAGUAGGAGCUAAUAAAGUCAGUGUUGCAGUCAGAGUACACUGAAAUCUGAAAUAUUCAAAGGCAUAAUUCCAAAGAAGAGUCUCUACUUACGAGCGCUUAAGGCACACUCAGUACACACAUCCAUGUAUACAUACAUAAAUCUUAGCAUAAGUAUAUAAAUACACAAAUCCUCCUCCCUUCCCCCUCCCUCAUGUGUCUCACAAACUUAUCUGACGAUAAUGGAAACCCACAAUACCAGAAAGUCCACAUCUAGCUGAUACAGGCACAAGAAGGUAAAUGAUCUCUAGAACUUACAAUCUCAGUUGAAAGAAAAGUCGAACAUGCCAAAACAAAAUUAAAGUAUAAUACUAGAUUUAUAUUUAACAGGAAAUUCACUAUCCGGCAUUGCUUGAGAAUCUGAAUAAAUUGACAAAUUGUGGUCUCGAAAAGUUUAGUUUCAACCUUGAACCAACAAAGAAAGAGCAGAGCUGAGUGACGCAUUUGGUCUCAACAUGGCCAGUGGACGCCCACUUGGAUCCCCAAUUUUAGGAACCCAUGUACCCAAAGGAAUUGUACACACUGGUUGCUGUAGAGCCGGCAAAGCACUAGAAGAGUGUUUAAAGUACCUGCAGAUACCUGAAAAUUAACAAACAAAAAGAAAAUCUAAGAAAAAAUAAGAUGGCAAAACCAGGAAUAUUGUAUGAGAUUAGUAAAAUAAUGUCAAAAAUAAUUGAUGAAAGUAAGCCCACGAAAGAACAACUCACAUUUCAAAAUUCCUGAAAGGGAUGCGAGAUGCAGCAACUGCGGAAAGGAUCCAUCUUCUGAUGUUGAAUGGAUGAUUGGAACAGUGGAAACAUCAUUUUGCAGAAUCAUUAAAGCUACAUCCCUCAAGGAAUCAUACGGGCUGGCCUAAACAACCCAUUGGCAAGACACAAUGAGUUUAUGGCAACAUCUCAAUUACAUUGUUACACACACACACAUAUGUAUAUAUAGUUCACCUGGAAUACUAUUGAUAGUAGAAGAAUAGCGUUUAUUAUCUACUUUUUAACCCUUAGAUUCCUAGGGUUUAGUGGUGGUAGUUGGAAUGGGCUAGAAAGCUGAUAGUAAACACUAUUUAUUUACUAUCGAUAGUAUUUCAAGGAUAUAUAUAUAUAUAUAUAUAUAUAUAUAUAUAUAGAGAGAGAGAGAGAGAGAGAGAGAGAGAGAGAGAGAGAGUAGAAUACUAUUAAUGGCACCAAGUCAUUGGUGCUAUUAGGUUUUUGGCCCUUGGAUUAAGGAAUGUGUAGUUGAAUGAUAGUGGUCCCCUAGAGUUGAGUGGGUGGUUGGUUGAAUAGUAUGAUCUAAGGGGUAGAAAUGGUCAAAGAGGUAGAUCUAACGGCGGAGAAAGUAAUGCAUGGUUACAAAAGGCAAUUAAGCGUUCAUAAUAGUCAGAGAAAAAAAAAGUCUUAACAAUCUUUUUAUGGCUUGUAAGAAAAUUCCUGGUAAGAAAUGUAAAAGUGAGCUAUCAGCCAACGGACCCCAUUGCAGAGUCUUUAGUGUAAUAGGUAACAAACUAGAGGAAAUCCAUAUGCCUAUGGUUGACAUUACCACCUAUACCACAAUAAACCAUCAGCCUUCAUACCUUCAAUACUAGUCCGCUUUUACUGAAGAAAAGGUUAAAAUACAAGAUUGGUCCCUAGAGUUUCACAUUCAAAUACGCUCACAGGUUUUAGUCCCUGAAGUUUUUUCCAAUAGCUAUUAAUUCUUGGUCCUUUUCAAAGUUUCAAUAGUGAAGGUUAUAUCUUCUAAAAAGAAAUUGUUCAAAAAGUCACUCUGAUGAGAAAAACAUUCUUUUACUGCAAAAAUGAUCAUAAUUACAGACCAACAAAGCCAACUCAUUGGAUAAGAAUCAAGUUCAGUUUCCAAAACAAAGGAAUAACCUGACUUAAUUUGUACUCCCCAUUAUAACCUAAAUUUACCAUGAAUUCAGUCCAGGCAUCUGUUUGAACUGUUUGUAAAUAUUCAGUACUUUAGUUAAAGGCAACUUCCAAGCUAAACAAUUGUAAUUGCAUUAAUAUCAGCCAUACAGGAACUUACAUGCAUUAGAUGCCUUUGAAAUGGUCGACCGUGCCCAUCCAUUUGCCGGUAAAGUUGCUGCUUUCCCCGUUUCCAAGCAGAUAUUGUGUGGGUCUCAAGCUCUUCCUCUGUUAGGUUUGAGCCAUGAUUUCCGAGCUGCAAUAAGCACAAGAUAAUCUUUUAACAACAGUACAGAAUCUACAGACGAGGAAAGAGUAAGGAAGUUGAAACAUAGCACUGAAGAAGUAAAUAUGGCUGACCCAGCAAAUUAAGCAUUUCAUAAGCCUAAUAAGAUAUACUCUAUUGCUUAUACGUAUUACAGAACUCAGAAAGGUUAUUCUGGUCAAAAUGACUUUGCAUUGGACUAGGAAUAAACCCAAAAAUGUAAUAUCUGAAAAUUGGUAUUAGUUAGGUAAGAUGUAGAAUGCAGUUUGACCACAUUCUACUAAUUAUAGAGCUAGUUCUGAUAAGAGAAAGUAAAGCUUAUAAUUAAAAUUAAAUAGCACAAGUAAAUUCAAUUAAGCAUAGAGAAAUGUAACACAUGAUAAGAUAGAGGUCCUUCUUUAAUAAAUACAUUGCGAGUAUAAUAAAGAAUGCAAACAUAUAUUGAAAAUAAAGAUGCCUUUUUGACAAUAAUCUCAGUGAACUCAGCUGCAUGGGACAUACCAAGCGAUGUUAAAUGCGCAAGAAGAAGAGACCAGGAAAAGGAGUAAAAGAUAUUGAAGUACUACCUCUCUCAAUAUUAAUAUGAAGUCCAAUGGGCUAAGUACUCCAACAAAUUGUCCUCUGUAGAAAUCCCACAGAGGAGCAACAGGAAUUCCCUGUAAACAUCAACAUAAGUUGAUUUAGCAUUAAGUGAACACAAAAAAAAGCUGCAAUGUAUGUAAUUUUCUUCUUCUGGACUUUCAUCUUCUGGACUUUCACUAACAAUACCACAAAACUUUAAAAGCUCAGUGUUAGCAUAUUCAUGUCCAAUACGAACUCAGGAAAUAUAAAAGGAUUAAGCACAAAAGGUUUUCGCUUCGAGAUGCAAGCAUGGAAAUCAGAAUGCUUUUGGACAGCCAUAUAUAGGAUGUAGAAACCUUUGGCAUUUAUAGUUGAUAAAGGUCUAUUUAUACACUUCAACUUAACGUAAUACCAGCUCAAGCAUAAUUCCGGGAUGUAUUAACAGGUAACUUCUUCUAAUUGUCCAAAACCCAGCAAAUUAAGAGGGGAGUAAUCUCCAAUGCAAAUCAAGAGGAGGGGAAAUGAACUUCUCAGUCUUCCAAGUGCUGAAUCAAAAUCUUGUAUGUUUGGAAAAAAGGAAAGAUGCACAUGUAACAAGGCAGCAAAGAUUAGGGUUUCAUAUAUGGCAUUACAAGGAGUAUGACAACUUAGAAUAGAAGUACCUGUUCAUAUAGAAUAUGAAAAGCCUGCUUCACGGGCAAAUUAACAUCAAAAGCAAUGACCUGAACGAAUGCUCAAAAAAGGCAAAGUUAUUUCCCUCAUGGCAAAGGCAAAGAUUCAGGAAAACAGAAAAAGGAGGAUCAUCUGUACCUUUCCGGAGUUAGGGAGUAAAUCAUAUGCAGUGUGUCGGGAUAGAAAGUCAGAAACAUGAUGCCUCGAUAUUUCAAUAUCAGUCUCUGAAAUUCUACGAGGGCUCACCUGCACAACACCAUCCAACAGAAUCACCUGCUCAGAAAAUAAAUAAUGGCGGUGCAACAUAGACUAACACUAGAUCCGAUAAUAUCUAGAAAAAAGCUCAUCUCGUCUUCUACAGGAAACAUGCAUACAUUAUUGCGAAUAAAAGAAGUCUGUUCACCACAGUCAUCUGUUCCAGUUACUCAAAUAUCCUAAUUCUAUUUUCUCCAAUCAACUAUGUGCACUACCACCGCAGGCAGCUAUUACAAUAUCCUUAGUUGUAUCUAUACAUAUAUCUAUUUAUUGGCUGCUAUAAAGCUAAAAGUCGUCAAUUGCAGCUUUACAAAGUAUGUGUUCGACAAAUGAGUUUUAUUUUUCUCUUGAGAUGUAUAUUUUAGGUUGCAGAAGUGUUAUUUAUGGCAAGAAAACCAAGUUACACGAGUAAACAAAUCAUUGCAUAGUGUUCUCAAGAUAUUACACUUCCUUGUUUCACCCCUCUAUCUAUGGGACCUAACUCAUACUCUGUACCUGUCAGAUCGUUGGCGCUAACCAUUAAUCCCAAAAGCUCGAGCUGUUAGAAAUACGUAACCAAUUCACUUAAAGCGUACAGAUACAGCGCCCAUGGGUCUUGAUUGUGACUCGGCCCAACUAACCUCACGUCACUUCGAACAUGACUCGGCCCACCCAGCCUCACGCCAUUUCGAAUAUGACUCGGCCCAACAUGGCCUUCCGCUACAAGACAGGAUGCUGGCCCAUUUAAGCCAACAAUCCCUCCCCAAGCACCUGCACACAUUUGCAGCAUGCGGGAACCGAACUCGUGACCUCUGGCUCUGAUACUACUUUGUCGGAUCGUUGGCGCUAGCCAUUAAUCCCAAAAGCUCGAGCUGUUAGAAAUACGGAACCAAUUCAAUUAAAGCGUACAGAUACGGCGCCCACGAGUCUCGAUUGUGACUCGGCCCAACCAGUCUCACGCCACUUCGAACAUGACUCGACCCAUCUAGCCUUACGCCAUUUCGAAUAUGACUUACCCCAACAUGGCCUCCCGCUAUAAGGCGGGAUGCUGGCCCAUUUAAGCCAACAGUACCUACUCAACAAAGAAAUAUAUUUUUUUUCAUGCAUUCUCCACUGUCUAAGUCGUAAUAUGUUAUAUCACGGAAAGUAAUUACUACCAGAAAUGCAAGUAAAUGUUUCAAGACAUCAAAAGUGAAAGAGUAGUGAUACCUACUAAUCAAUAGCUUUCCAAAAGACUACUUGAAACUAAACAUCUCGCAAAUUCUCUUCACACAUGGUUCCAAAGUGGCUAUAAAUAAAUAAAUAAAUAAAUAUAUAUAUAUAUAUAUAUAUAUAGAGAGAGAGAGAGAGAGAGAGAGAGAGAGAGAUUAUAUAUAUAUAUAUAUAGAGAGAGAGAGAGAGAGAGAGAGAGAGAUUUAAAUUUUAAAGAAAUGAAAAAAGUUUAUUACAACAUAUAACAAAUAUCUUUCUUUACGUAGUGCAUUUAUUACCACAACAAAAGUUCACUCGUAUCCUUACCACACUGUCAUUAUCAACAUCCAUGGUCGUCCUAUUUCUAGGCGUGUGAGGGCUCAACAGUGAAGGCAUAGGAUCAACAUCACCAGUCAAAUACAAAGUGUUUACUAUCCCAUACUCUCCGGUCACGAAAGGCUGCCGUUCAUCGUGCCGCCAUUCUCCAUCAACAAAGAAUUUGUACUGCAUGUAUAGAACACAGUAGUAUAAAACUUUAAAUAUUACAGAUGAAACAAUUGUGUCUGAAAGCUUAACUGAAUGGUCAAGCAAACGCACCAAUAUGUUCGCUUUGAAUUUCAUAUUAGCACACAAAUGUCUAGCAAAUAAGCAUUCUAAGCAUUCUAACAGUAAAAAACUUAGACCAGAUAAGUAACCUAAACUAGCAAGGUCUCAAUGCAAGUUAAUGACAUUCAAGGAUUAAAUUUGAGGGUGAAAAAACCAACAUUUAAAUAAGAAAGUUACGGAGGGCAGGGAAAAAAAAAAAAAAAAAGAAGCUACAAAGACUGAAAAAACUACAGAAUUACCUGAUGAAUGCCAGGAGCCAAACUGCAGAUUGCCUGGAAUACAGUAGGACAACCUUCCACAGGAGACAUUGGUAUAAGUUCCGACCACCUAAGGAAAACAUCUUACAGAAAUCAACACAAUACUCGUACGAAAAUUUUCGAGUAAUAAAAUGAUGUGAAAAUAGAGUUGCAAAGAGUAAUUAUCAGUUGACUGUACAGGCUCAUUUUAUUAUUUUUUCCCAUAGUUUUGAUGGCAACAAUGGGCAAGUCAUCUAAUUUAACAAAGGCUGAUUCAACCUAAACAAAUGUUUAAGAUAAACUUUCCUCCAAAAGAAUCAAAGAACAUAAACAACAGAAAAUAGACGUUGCAAACAAGAAUUUUGCAGCCUCAUUAGGUGAACCUGCAAUGUAGUUGAAGUCUACCAAGACAGCUUCUAAGUGUCAAUUGGUCUACGUGCAGUUUUUACAAAAUAAGUGAGAAUACUCACAAAUUCACUGUUCCUCAAGUUAAAUUUCAUGUACCAAUCCUCAAUAAGUAUACACCUCGAAAUCAAUUUGUAUGUAUGCAUGUUUGUUAUGACCUUUAGGAAUAUGCAAAUAAGGGCAAUAAGCAAUAAACAAAUUUGACCAAAAGUUAAAACCUCGACAUCAACUUGUAUGUAUGUUUCAUCUGACCUUUAGGAAUAUGCAAAAAAGGUUAUAAAGCAAUCAGCAAAUUUAAUCAAAUGUUAAAAUGAAAACUAGAUGAAUUUGUGCUGGAGAGUAGAAUUUCAGGUUUACUCUUAAACAUAGAGAAGAAAAGGCUAACAAAUAGGAGAUAUCUUGUCUCAAUAGAAAUUUAUGUAAGAGAUAUCAAUUUUUGUUAUGCCUUCAAUAAUUGCUUGAAGCAGUUAUAUGUUUGUUGACUCUAUUUGACUAAAUGUUAGCUAGUUGAGGAGAGAGAGGGAAGACGAUGAUUUGGUUUGGUUAGCUGAGUUGGUAAAUAUCAUAUAAGUCUACAUUGAUCGAAAGGUUAAUCUAUUGAAAUACAACAGUAGGGUGGAGUAAUUUUACAUCAAGCAUGUUCACCUCAUCACCCAUGCAAACCUCAAAUAGCAAAGAAAAACUUUUGUGUGCUUGGGUAAUCACACCACCCCAUAUAUAACAAGACAAGACCAGGAGAAAUAACUUCUAACUACAUUUAACCAAACAGAAAACUUAUAAUUGACGCACCCCCUACUGCAAGAUAGCCUAAUUGGAUAAGCACAAUUGUAAAUAUUUCAUGUCAACUGCAUGCAUCUCUAAUUGCACAAUAUUUAUGACUACAUACACCAAACGGCCAUUUCCAACUCUAUAUUAGUAUUUAUCAGCAUGCCAUGGAGCACAAGCUAAACUCUCAAACUUUUAAGAGUACAUUCUAACUGCUUGUAGCAACGAUGAAUAAAGCAAAGUAUUUGUUUAACCAUAACAGACUUAUAUUUAAGUUUAUCUAAUUGACCGUCUAAGUCCUCAGACAAUCUGCCCAAAUGCCUAAGCGGAGACUAGGAGUCUAGGGAGCCACCAUGCGUGAUAACCACCUUGAAAAUUUUGAGGAUUACAGGCGGCAGUGUCAUAUACAAUCACAUCUUCAGCUUUUAGUGCAUAGUACAUAUGUCAGCAAAUUGAUUUAGCAUUUUUGUCGCAUCAUUAAAAUUUCAUAUGGUUCAAAUACAAUCGAUGCAUAAGAGCAUUCAAAGUUCAUGUAAACAGAAGAUAAAAGUUGAACACAGAGAAUGAUCAAUAAAGCAAUAACUGCAAACACCAUAUGAAAGCAGUUAAUAAAGAAUGCUACAGUAAUAGACACUUAAUAGAUAUAGAAAGACCUAACCUCCUGAAAGAACCAGUUAGGAGCACCCUAUUCCCACCAUACGGCCAUACGAACCGCGUCAGAAUCUGCACCGCCCCCUCGGCAACCGGCGUGUCUCGAGAAGAAUCCGGCCCCGACGAGAACAUUUCCUUCGAUCCUUUCAACAAGCUUCUAACUGUUAACAAAUUACGGCGUACUCUUUCCUAGUUACCCUAACAACCAUCACCAAUCCAAAGCUCCUCUCCACCAUCAAAAGAGAGGGUAUCCCAACAACAAAAAGCCCUAAUUUAAGGUACCUCUUGCGACGGGAUCCUCCACAGCACGCAGAGGACCCCUCAGUGCUCACACAUUCCACGCAGGGAAGCGGCAAUCCGCCCGCGGUAACAUGAAAGCCCCCUCAAGCUACCUCAAAAGCAGCACCUUUGCGGCACAAAAGCCCCAAAAAUUCAAACAAUUCCCGAGCACCACCACACUAAGCCCCUUNAAAGAAUCUCUCUAGGAGCUUACAAACAACAGCACAAUUACCAGCCCUCCUUUCCAGACAACUUUGUGGUAAAUUUGAGGCAAGUUGGUGGGGUUAUUUAUAAUAGCCCAAGGAGAUGAGAGAGAGAGAGAGAGAGAGAGAGAGAGAGAGAGAGAGAUGGGUCGGAAAAGAGACGACGACAAUGGAGAGAGAGAGAGAGAGAGAGAGAGAGAGGGGAAAAGGGAGUUGAAGGGGGGGAGAAGCAAUACGAAUGUAUGCGGGAGGGGAUGCGUGCGUUUGUACGCAGGACAGUGGAUUAUGCGGACGCAGGUUGGGACAAUGCAAUCCACCAACCAAUCAGAAGCGGGGUAAAUGUACACGCCCCUCCAAUUUUUUUUUUAAGCUCAACGACUUAAAAAAAAAAAAAAAAAAAAAAAAAAAAAAAAAAAAAAAAAAAAAAACCCGAAAGGCUUGGUGAUUGAUAUUCGAGGUCCAAGUUUGAAUCAUAGUUGAAUCACACUUUCAGCUAAGUUAUUUCUAAAUGAAAUAAACGAAGUGGAUAGUAUACUACCUAUCUCUUAGAAAAAAAAAAAUAAAAUAAAAUAAAAGAAAGAGUUCAACCAACUCCCUAUAAAGAUAUCGAAAUAUAUUUCUAUUAAAAUUUAAUUUUUUAUAUUUAUUUCUACAAAAGUUGAGUGAUAUUCAUAUUUGCUGUUCUGAUUUGUUAUCACUACUCUCUAAUAGUUCCAAUUGUUAAACUUAUACAGAAAUAUCCUUCCAAAAAUUUUCGACGGUCAUCAUCUUUAUUUCUAUCAUCACAAAUAAUAUAAGAGGGGCAAAAAGUCAAUUUACCUUAUUUAUUAAGACUUCGUUUGGGAUCGCGGGGAGAUUGCAUUACAUGCUGUGAAAAAGUACGUUGGAAAAAUACUUUAUUUGUUUCCGUACGUAAUCCUGCGUUCCGCAUAUCGCCAUGAGUCGAUUAUGAUAUAUUUUCUAGAAUUUCACUGGAGAACGCAGAAAAAUAUCCCUAUAUACUUUUUCUCCAACUUCAUUUUAUCUAAUAGCAUUAGAUGGGCUUCAAUACUAAACUAAGUCUAACUAUAUUUUUCUAAUGAGUCCUAACAGUGGGAAUAUAUUUAAAAACGUUAAGACUUUUGUGGAAAUAAAUAUGAAAAAUAAAAUUUUAUAGGAAUAUAUCUGCUAUUCGAUAUAUUUACAUAGAACUGUAUACGACAAACCUUUUUUUUAAUGAGAUUGUUAGGAUUAUGUGUAGAUUUUUUUGAGUUAUUAGGAUUAUAUCUGUGUUGUUAGAAUUUUUAUGAAAUUAUUUGAAUUAUUAUAUAUGAAAAAUAUUUAGAGUUGGAACUCUAAUUAACGGUUUGGUUCAAAGUAAAAUUGUGAAAAUUAAUUUUUUGAAAAAAAAAUUUGGUGGAAUUUUUUUUUUUAACAUUUUAAGUUUUUGAUUUGUAGGGAAAAAAAAAAGUUUUCCACUAACAUUUGUUUGGUUGAAUAGAAAAAAAAAANAAAUGCUCGGUGAAUGGUAUUCGAGGUCUCAAGUUUGAAUCGUAGUUGAAUCACACUUUCAGCUAAGUUAUUUCUAAAUGAAAUAAACGAAGCGGAUAGUAUGCUAUUUAUCUCUCAGAAAAAAAAAAGAAAAAAGAAAAAAAGAAAGAGUUCAACCAACUCCCUAUAAAGAUAUCGAAAUAUAUUUCUAUAAAAUUUAAUUUUUCAUAUUUAUUUCUACAAAAGUUGAGUGAUAUUCAUAUUUGCUGUUCUGAUUUGUUAUCACUACUCUUUAAUAGUCCCAAUUGUUAAACUUAUACAUAAAUAUCCUUCCAAAAAUUUUUGACGGUCAUCUUCUUUAUUUCUAUCAUCACAAAUAAUAUAAGAGGGGCAAAAAGUCAAUUUACUUUAUUUACUAAAACUUCGUUUGGGAUCGCGGGAAGAUUGUAUUACAUGCUGUGAGAAAUUACGUUGGAAAAAUACUUUAUUUGCUUCCGUACGUAAUACUGUGUUUCGCAUAUCGCGAUGAGUCGAUUAUGAUAUAUUUUCUAGAAUUCCACUGGAGAACGCAGAAGCAUAUCUCUAUAUACUUUUACCCCAACUUCAUUUUAUCUAAUAGCGUUAGAUGGGCUUCAAUACUAAACUAAGUCUAACUAUAUUUUUCUAAUAAGUCCUAACAGUGGGAAUAUAUUUAAAAACGUUAAGACUUUUGUAGAAAUAAAUAUGAAAAAUAAAAUUUUAUAUGAAUAUAUCUGCUAUUCGAUAUAUUUACAUAGAACUGUAUACGACAAACCCUUUUUUUAAUGAGAUUGUUAGGAUUAUGUGUAGAUUUUUUUGAGUUAUUAGGAUUAUAUCUGUGUUGUUAGAAUUUUUAUGAAAUUAUUUGAAUUAUUAUAUAUGAAAAAUAUUUAGAGUUGGAACUCUAAUUAACGGUUUGGUUCAAAGUAAAAUUGUGAAAAAUAAUUUUUUGUAAAAAAAAUUUGGUGGAAUUUUUUUUUUUUUAAACAUUUUAUAGUUUUUGAUUUGUAGGGAAAAAAAAAAGUUUUCCACCAACAUUUGUUUGGUUGAAUAGAAAGAAAAAAUUCAUAUUUGCUUGGUUUGGUAGAAAAGAAGAUGAAAGAAAAAAGUUUUAUGCAAUUUGAAUUUUCGUUUUCCGCCAAAGCGAAAUUUUAAUUUUUUUUCAAAUCCGAAAAAAUAUUUUUAUGUUGAACCAAACAAACGAAAAAGCAUUUUUUAUACGGAAAUUAUUUUUCGGUUUAUUUUACGCGGGCAUGUUUGUUUCAACGAAACUAGACUUCGGGUUGAAAUGGAGUUCGGUGAAAACUACUACUUUUCCGUUGUUUGUUUCGUAGUUAUGGAAGUGAUAUUUCAUUAGUUCUGCUGUUUGUUUUGUAAGAAAUGUAGGAUGUAAAACUAUAAUUUAUAUAUAAAUAAUAAAUAUUUUAAUAAAUAAAGAUAACAAAAUUAUAUUUUUAUAUAAUUAAAAUUUAAUUUAAAAUAACUAAAUUAUUUUUUUAUACAAAAAUUAUAGUAAUACAUUAAUAAAAUUAUAAAGUAAAAAAUAUUAAAAUUGAACUAAUCAAUUUUUAUCAUAUUUUAAAUAUACCAACUAAAAAAAUAGUAAUUAGUAAUAUAAUUAAAUAUAUUUAAAUAUAAUUAUAUUUAUCUAUUAUAUUAUUUUAUUAUUUUUUUUACUUUUUUUUUUUUACCAUAAUUAACUUCGGCUCACGAUGGCCGAAGUCAAUUACGCCGUUUGAGGUUAACUCGAGUUCCGACCGUAACUUUUUUACGUCGAGCCAAAACAACGGAAGUGGUCGCUUAUAGCAAAACCAACUUCUCACCUCUCCACUUUCACCCAACUUCCACCC